ACAAUAAAAGUAAUUAGCAUACAUAGUUUUCAUUUUUUUUUUCUUCCUAACCAUUCAUCUAGUACAUAUAGUUUCCAUCACCCCAUUGCACAUAUAGUCAACAUUCACCAAAAGUGCAAAGUGUUAAAAUCAAGUACUAUCAUCAUUUUUCCAAAAAAAUGUCAGCUUAAACACAAAAAAGGGAGCUUGCAAUUCAUUGUCUUUCUUGUCCCAAAAAUCAUCAUGAACUACCUACAAAAGAGAAAAUGAAUAAAUGUUAGAACAAUGUAAAAGUAAGUCAUGCAAAUAAAUUUUGAAUAAUAAAGCAAAUAAACUAUAAUAGACCGAAACUUCGGUAGAGUACUCCGGACUUUAGCUAAAUUGACUAAAGUGUCGGAAAGAAAAGGUUGGACAAAAUCAAAUUAAUAUUCCAACAAUGUUGGAAGGGUUAAAAAUGAGUUCCAAAGGAGUUAGAAAGGUUUUAGCGUCGGUCAGCGCGAAAUAGAAUCGAAACAACGCGAGAAACAGAAAUCUGGAACUUUGUUACCGGUUUAACAUCAAAAGAGUACCGGUACCAAGUGUUAAACCGAGAGAAAGCUGCUCUCGGGUUUGAGUAAAAAUUGGCUUGUUACCGGUGACAACCCCUCGGUGGUACCGGUACCAAUGUAAAUUACCCGAGAAGCUGCUCUCGGGUUAGCUUCUGCGAAAUCGUGUAACCGGUGACACUUUGGUCUAUACCGGUACUAAAAGGACUUCGCAGCAAAAAUAGGUCUGCUGCAAAUAUGAGUUUUUGGGGGGCCUAGCUGCUAUUGUAGCAACCCAUAUAAGACCCCACACUCCCUCUCUCUCCCCCUCAAGAGGCCUUGGAGUGACAGCAGGCGGCGGCGACUCAAAUGGGCGACUAGCCCCCUGUGCCCCCUGUGGUGGUGCCAAGUGUGGCCGAGGCAAUAGCGACGGCAAAGCCGGUCGCGGCUAUUCCAGUCGCGACGGUGCCGGCCGGUUUGGGAACCUCAAAUCCCGAUGAUGCGGCUAUAGAGGCAGAGCGGGAGCGUGCAUUGACAGCUCUUGUUAAGUUCAAGAAGUUCGACCCACCUAUCUUUGAAGCGGGAAAGGUGGAGCCAUCGGUGGUGGAGUCGUGGAUCGACUUGAUGGAGAUGCUUUUCGAGGACCUAUAUACCUCAGAGAAGGAUAAGGUGCACCUCGCCACUUAUUGCCUUAAGAAGGCGGCGAAGGUGUGGUGGAAGCGGGUGAAGCGAAAUCGGCCUUCUGACCUUCCGCCUAUGCUGUGGGAGGAGUUUAAGAGGGCGAUGUUUGCAAACUACUUCCCCAACACGGUGAAGCGAAAGCUAUAAGAAAAAUUUCGCAAGCUAAUGUAAGGAGACCGCUGGGUAGCGGACUACGAGCAGGAGUUCUCCCACAUCAAUGAUUGCAUCCCGGAUGUUGUUCGAGAUGAUCGGGACCGGACCGAUUGGUUCUUGCGAGGACUUAGGCCGAGGAUCUAUGAGGCCAUGCAAAUCCUCAAGCGUACGACCUUUGCGGAGAUCUUUGAUCGAGCUUUGUGGGCGGAGCAUGGCAACGCCUACGUGCUAGAAGAGCGUGAGUCUAUGGCGGAGUCGAGAGAUGAAGGAAAGAAGCGGGCGGCGGGUGGUGCCGGGGGCCGGCCGAAUGCAAAGAAACCCCCUCGGUAUCCCCGACAGCAGUCGAGGAUUUGGAGGCCUCCUUGGUGUGUCAUUUGCGGCGGUGAGCAUCGACCGGCAACUUGCCCGCAAUGAGAAGGAAAGUGCUUCAGGUGCGGCCAAGUGGGACAUAUGAUCCGGGAGUGCCUGGGAUUGGCGUCGUUUGCACCGACAGCAGCAUCAGUUCCAUCUUCACCAAGGCAGCUUGCGGGAUUGCCCCCAGCUAUGUCGGCUGGACGCUCAUCUGCAUCGCGCCAGCUAGAGGCAUCUAGAGCACCAAGUGGGCGGGUUUUUGCCACUCAGGUGGAGGAGCAGCCUGCAGUUCCUGAUGAUGCCGUGGCAGCUAUUAUUUCGAUCAGUGGCACUAGAGCUAGAGCUUUAUUCGACACAGGUGCAUCGCAUUCAUUCAUAGGUGCAUCAUUUAAAAAAACUCAUGGCAUAGAGAUCACACAUAACGAGGAUUAUUGGUUGGUGAAUGCUCCAGAGCAUUCGUUCCGUGUUCACGACGAGUGCUUGGCUUGUCUAGUACAGAUAGGUGAUUGGAUUAUGCCGAUAGACCUACUAGUGCUAGAGCGAAUGUGGGGAUUCGAUGUAAUCUUGGGGAUCAAUUGGCUCUCCAAGUAUUAUGCGAUGAUAGAUUGUGAAAGCAAGGUGAUCACAUUUCGUGAGCCUAAUCAAGAAGAGUUGGUAUACCGGGCAUGUAAAAGCUCGCACUUCGCGACGACCGUAUCGGCGGUGAGGGCGAGGAAAAUGAUAAAGGGUGGAUGUGUAGCCUACUUGGAGACAAUAGUAGAAGCCCAAAAGGAGCACCCGGAACUUAGUGGUAUUCGGGUAGCGUGUGAGUUUUCGAAUGUAUUUCCGGUGGAGCUACCGGGAUUGCCACCGGACCGGGAAGUCGAGUUUGUUAUUGAUUUGAUUCCCGGGGCGGCACAAAUUUCGAAGGCUCCGUAUAGAAUGGCACCGACGGAGCUAAAAGAGCUAAAGGCACAAUUGCAAGACUUGCUCAAUAAAGGCUUCGUGAGGCCGAGCGUGGUGCCGUGGGGAGCUCCGGUGCUAUUUGUGAAGAAAAAGGAUGGCGCACUUCGACUCUGCGUGGAUUAUCGCGAGUUGAACAAAGUGACAAUUAAGAAUAAGUACCCAUUGCCGAGGAUUGACGAUUUAUUCAAUCAAUUGCAAGGGUUGAGGGUAUAUUCGAAGCUUGAUCUUCAAUCGGGGUAUCAUCAGUUGAAGAUCCGGCCGAAGGAUGUGCACAAAACGGCGUAUCGUACACGGUAUGGCCAUUAUGAGUUCACGGUAAUGCCGUUUGGGCUUACUAAUGCCCCGGCAGCAUUUAUGGACUUGAUGAAUCGAGUCUUUCGACCGUUAUUAGACUGGUGCGUUGUGGUUUUCAUUGACGACGUGUUGGUUUAUUCACGGAGUGAGGAAGAACACGAUGAGCAUUUGAGGACCGUGUUGGAAAUACUCCGAAAAGAGAAGCUAUAUGCAAAACUAAAUAAGUGCGAAUUAUGGCUUUCGGAGGUCACUUUCUUAGGCCAUGUUAUAUCGGGUGAUGGCACCUCGGUGGAUCCAAAGAAAGUGGAGUUAAUUAAAGAUUAGCCUCGCCCGACAAGUGUAGCGGAGAUCCGUAGCUUUCUUGGACUUGCGGGUUACUAUCGGCGGUUCGUGGAGAGGUUCGCUAAAAUAACCAUUCCACUAACGCGUCUUACACACAAAGGGGUGAAAUAUGUUUGGAGCGAUGAUUGCGAUCGGUGCUUCAAGGAAUUAAAGGAAAGGUUGACAUCGACCCCGGUGCUUGCUGUACCAACUCCGGGGGAGACCUUUGUUGUGUACAGUGAUGCUUCAUAUAUCGGUCUCGGGUGUGUUUUGAUGCAGAAUGGGCAAGUUAUUGCGUAUGCUUCGCGCCAAUUGAAGAGUUAUGAAAAGAACUACCCGAUUCACGAUCUUGAGCUAGCGGCGGUUAUUUUCGCGCUAAAGUUAUGGAGGCAUUACUUGUAUGGUGAACAUUGUGAGAUCUACACGGAUCACAAGAGUCUUAAAUACUUGUUCACCCAAAAGGAGUUAAAUAUGCGACAAUGGCGGUGGUUAGAGUUGUUAAAAGAUUACGAUGUUACUAUUUUAUACCACCCCGGGAAAGCAAACGUCGUGGCCGAUGCACUUAGUAGAAAAUCGGGAGAAAACUUGGCUUCGGCAAUUACACCUCAACCAUUAUUGCAAAAGGAGAUGCAACGACUUGGUCUUGAGGUAGUGGCUUCGGGAGUGCCGGCAACACUUGCGGCGUUGGUUGUUCAACCGACCUUAUUGGAGAGGAUAAAAGAGCUACAAGCCUCCGAUGCAUAUCUCCAAAAGAUGCGCGGUGAAGUUGAAAACGGUAGUGCCGAUGAUUUUGGCAUUGGGGCCGAUGGCACACUUCGAUUCCGAAAUCGUUGGUAUGUGCCUAAAAACGAGGACAUUCGCAAGGCGAUUAUGCAAGAAGCUCAUCAAUCUUCUUAUAGCAUUCACCCGGGCGGCACCAAGAUGUAUCAAGACUUGAAAAUGCACUAUUGGUGGCCGGGCACGAAGAAAGACAUUGGGUAAUUUGUGGCGCAAUGUCUUAUGUGCCAACAAGUGAAGGCGGAGCGCUGGUUCCCGGCAGGGAAAUUGCAAAGUCUAUCUAUACCCGUUUGGAAAUGGGAAGACAUCGCAAUAGACUUUGUUACUGGUUUGUCUCGAUCUCAAGGCGGACACGAUGCAAUUUGGGUAAUAGUAGACCGAUUGACGAAUUCAGCGCACUUUUUUUCGAUCCAUACCACGUGGUCGGGAGACAAGUUGGCUCAAGUAUAUAUCGACGAGGUUGUGAGACUUCAUGGGGCUCCGAUGUCAAUUCUAUCGGAUCGAGACCCUAGGUUCACAUCUCACUUUUGGAAGAGCCUACAAGAUGCAUUGGGCACACGGCUCGACUUUAACACGGCAUUUCAUCCUCAAAGUGAUGGUCAAUCGGAGAGGACAAUCCAAAUACUUGAGGAUAUGCUUCGAGCGUGUGUACUUGACUACAAGGGUGGAUGGCAUGAUCAUUUACCAAUGGCGGAGUUCGCGUACAAUAAUAGUUAUCAAGAGAGUAUCGCGAUGGCGCCAUUCGAGGCCCUUCAUGGAAAGAAAUGUCGCUCUCCUAUUCAUUGGAGUGAUGUGGGUGAGAGAGUUGCUCUUGGCCCCGAUGUGGUGCGGGAUGCGGAGGAGAAAGUUCGCCUUGCCCGCCAACGACUUGCUACGGCACAAUCUCGACAAAAGAGCUAUGCCGACAAGUGGAGAAAAGACAUAGAGUUUGCGGUUGGAGACCGCGUAUUCUUAAAGGUAUCGUCAAUGCGAGGAGUGAAGCUGUUUGGAAUUCGUGGGAAACUAAGUCCACGGUAUGUUGGACUGUAUGAAAUAUUGGAACGGGUCGGUGCGGUGGCUUACAAGCUUGCACUACCACCGAGGCUUGCAGGAGUUCAUAAUGUAUUUCAUGUGUCAAAUCUCCGCAAGUAUGUGCACGACCCCGAGCAUAUUCUCUCGUAUGAACCGAUUGAGGUUCAAGAGGAUAUGACUUAUGAGAAGUUCCCGGCAUAUAUCGUCGAUCGAGAGGUGAGAAAACUAUGGAACCGUGAAAUUCCGUAUGUUAAAAUCCAUUGGUGCAACCAUGACGAUCGGGAAGAUACUUGGGAACUUGAGAACGUCAUGAGAGAGCGUCAUCCUCAUCUCUUUAAAGAGCUGAGCUAAGGUAUGGAAUUUGAUUUCGAUUAAGUAGUUUUGCGGACGAAACUAAUUUUAAGGGAUGGAGAAAGUAAUAUACCGAAACUUCGGUAGAGUACUCCGGACUUUAGCCAAAUUGACUAAAGUAUCGGAAAAAAAAGGUUGGACAAAAUUAAAUUAAUAUUCCAACAAUAGUGGAAGGAUUAAAAAUGAGUUCCAAAAGAGUUAGAAAGGUUUUAGCAUCGGUCGGCGUGAAAUAGAAUCGAAACAACGCGAGAAACAGAAAUCUGGAACUUUGUUACCGGUUUAACAUCAAAAGAGUACCGGUACUAAGUGUUAAACCGAGAGAAAGCUGCUCUCGGGUUUGAGUAAAAAUUGGCUUGUUACCGGUGACAACCCCUGGGUGGUACCGUACCAUUGUAAAUUACCUGAGAAGCUGCUCUCGGGUUAGCUUCUGCGAAAUCGUGUAACCGGUGACACUUUGGUCUGUACCGGUACUAAAAGGACUUAGCAGCAAAAAAUAGGUCUGCUGCAAAUAUGAGUUUUUGGGGGGCUAGCAACCCAUAUGAGACCCUACACUCCCUCUCUCUCUCCCUUACACAGCAAACACCACUCCUUUCUCAUUUCUCACUUUCUCUCACUAGAGAUCUCUGCAACGAGCAAGGAGAAGGUGUAGGAGAAGGAUUUUGAGGAGAUUUCUUGGGUUUUGGAGGCUUGGGAACUCUCCUACAAGGUGGACUUUGGAGAGCUCAUGAAAAAGGUAAGGUUUACUUGUAAGAUUAGGGUUAGGGCUUGGAUUUUAUGCCCUAAAUCUUUGGAUUUGAGCUUCUUACAAGUGUAGAAACCUUCUAGAGGCUAUAGAACACAUGAAAACCAAGGUUUCUUCAUGUGCUCUCAUAGUGGAUUUCUAGGGCUCGGUUUGUAUGCCCUAGAAAUGGUUUGAAAGGUUUAGAAAAGGUUCUAAAAGAGUUCUUAGAGGUUCAACAAGCUUUCUUUUGCUUGUUCUAUAGAUGAAACCCAAAGAUGAGCAAAUGGCAUUGUUAAGGCACCGAAAUUGGGGCUUUUGCCCUAGAAUGGUUUAAAGGCAAAUUGACCUUGUAGAAAUCUAAUUAGGGGUAUUUCUAACUAGAAUAUGAACUCAGUUCGGUGAUCCGACGAGUGUACGCAAUGAAAUUGACAAAAAGGUCGAUUUUGGUACAGAUUGCCGCAGCAUGCGGAUUAAACGCCCUUGAACCGUAGUACCCUUGCAACCAUACAAGGUAGGUGGUGCUUACCAAACUCUUUGAAAUUCCUUUUAUAUCUAAUGUGUCACUUAUUGAGCAUAUGUAUAUGUAUUGUUGCAUGCAUUGUAGGCUGAUUGAGAUUGUAUUUCUAUGAAUUGUUGUAUCUUGUGAGUACAAAUGCAUUAUGAAAUGGUUGAGAACCUAUGAACCCUAUGUAUGCAUGAUUGGUGAUGAAAACCUAGAUGAGGUAAAGAAUAAUGUGACACUAUGACAAGUAGAUCGAGUGGCAUUAGUAAAUACAAUGAAAUACUAGAGUUAGUGUAUGGCAUUAAUGAGUCAAGAUUUACUAGUGUACAAUUAUGGCACUAAAUGAAUAUAUUGAAUGUUAGAGCAUAAACCACUAGAGUUAAUGUGUGUGGCAUUAUUGAGAAUUGAAUGCUAGAGAAUUGAGAACAAAGAACUUGUGGUGUAAAUGACACUAACGAAAGUAAAGAAUGCAAGUGCAUGUGAGAGUUGGCAUUAUGACAUCAACCUUAUAGUUAAGGGUCAUAUGAGCAUUGCUUCCUUAUAGUUAAGGAAUGGAUUGAACUUGAAAUCCUUAUAGUUAAGGAUUGGAUCAUACUCGCCUUACGUCUUGGUUCCGAGGACGGUAACUCCCCCUCGAGCGAUGAGCUCCGGAGUAGUCAUUAGUGGGUCGUAGUAGUUCUCCCCAGAGGACGGUCCUGUACGGGUUGUAGAAGUUUCUCCCCGAUACUUGGGAUGAUGAGUUGAUGAGUCUAUUGAGGGCGAAACCUACUGGUUAGCCUAGAGAUUGGGAAUUGGAAAGUGACAUUGCAUUCAUCAUGAGCAUUCUUGUUGAGCAUCCUUAUUGAUCUCAUUGUUCAGGCAUAUUAGUUGCAUUUGUAUAGUUGGUUACCUAUCUAGCUGCAUUUGUAAGUCGGCCAGGUUGGUGGCCGAAGCCAUUGGGAACUUUGUUGCAGUUCUCACCCCACUAUUUCUACAGAGCCGGGACCGAGCGAGCUGGCGAACGAUUGCGGUAAAGGUAUCCCGCCAUAGCUAGAGACCACCCGAGUUGGUUUCAUUUUGGGUUUAGUUAUAUACCUUUUUAUAUAUCAUCUUUUGUAUUUUGAUGAUUAUAGUUGUAUGAAUGAUGUAUUAAAGAUGUUAAAUGAAAAGCUUUAUUUCGGAGAAUAUGUGAUGUAAAAUGAAAUGAUGCAAAGAUUGUAAAGGAAUUAUAUUAAAGAUGUAUGCAUGUAUGUGAUUUAAAGUUAAUCAUAUUACUUGUAUGUUGAUUAGUUAAUACUUUCACUUUGGCUAUUGCUUGCCCUCGUGCAAGCCAUUAUGUUUGCUUCUGUAUGUGCAAAUUUUAUACUCUAUUUGUACUUGUUGUUGAGCCUUGGGCGGACAGGAGAGGCUCUGUCCGUUCGGCGUCUGUUCGACAUGCUCGAACCGGCCAAAUAGGACCGGGCUUGGGGCGUGACAUAAACAACUCAUAAAGUCUAAAACAAGGAGGUCAGUGACAUAUUGUAAGGAAGUCGCAAAGUUGAGAAGUGGAAAGAAGUUGAACGCGAAAUUCUACAAAGGCAAAUCAUAAUUACAUAUUCUCUCACAAUAAUUCAACAAUACAUAAGUGAUCAUUAAAAUUAACAAUUGACUAAAGUUCAAUUAAAAACACAAACAUUGGAGAAUAUAAAAAAGAGGAAGUAGCUUCAAUCUGCAAUUUUGCUUUGGAAAGAGUGAGGGGCUGUAGAACACAACGAAUAAGAGGUUAUGAAAUCAAAGUUUAAGUAAAAUUAAAAUUGCAGGUAUAAUAAAAAUUGCUACAAGUCUAAAUCAUAAAAAAAUUAUAGACAGUGUUUACAAACGGAUCGAUGAAGAUUCUUAGAUAUGCUAUCGUCUACGUGGCUUUGUACUCUCACUAUUUUUUAUAUGACUAUAUAUAUUGAAAGACACCUCUAAACUAUCUUUCUAGGCUCACGAUCCUGCAUGAACUGACACAUUUGAUGCAUAAAAGACUAGUAGGCUAAGGAGGCAAAGAAGAAACAAAGCUGCAUUUGUAUACACCCAACUUUCUCAAUUGAAUACUACACCCAACUUUCUCAAUUGAAUACAAGUACAAGCAAGAACCUUAAAUACCUAAAUAUAGAAUAUGAAGACAAAGACGAGGAUACAUUAAACUAUACAAGAAAUGACAUAUAAAGAAAGAAUAGAAGAACAAUUAAGAAUGAGUCACCUUCAAUGCAGCAACACCAAGGGUGAGCUAGCUAUCUAGAUACAAGGAAUUUAGUGCUAAUAUGGAUUCCCUAAACAAAUCCCAAUGAAAGCAAUUUAAAUUUGCUGUUAAAGAAAACCAUAUAAAAUUGAAUCAAGUAUAAACACAUCAAAAUUUUGGAAUUAUAUACCAAAGAUCUUUAGCUGUUAUAUAGUCCUCCCUCUCAUACGCACUUCAAGCUUGAGAUUGCUGUUAGAAAAGAACAAUCUUCUUAGGACUUGAAUAUGAAUGAAUAAAAACUUGUAAUAGUAGCUAAAUAGAUAAUCUAGUUAGAGUGUUACCAAAACUGAAGGAGAUCUAUUAUUUGAUACUUCUAAGACCUUUUUGUAGUAGCUAUCAGUGUUUGUCAUAUCAUCAAGCGAACAUCUGGAAAAGACAAGCAUCAUAGAGGACUUGCAAGCAGCAAAAGAAAUGAAUACGAAGUCACUAAAAUUUUUCUAAUCAAGCAAGUAAUGAAGCAUUCAAAUUUUAUCACCAUAAAUAUAGUGAAUUCUAAUGUAGAGAGAAUUAAGAUAAUGGAUGGUAGUGCAUUCUACUGAUCAGCUUAAGAGCAUAAAAAAUGAUAAUAAUGAAACAAAAGAUUGUCAAAAAAUUCGACAUUGCUAGAAUGGUUUGAGAGGAUUAACAAUAAUAUAUAUAAACAGACAUCAAUUCUGAAAGACCAAUCAAAAUUCAAAAAAAAAAACUACGAAACAAUUCUAUUAAAAGUUUAAACUCCAUUAUUGAAUGUACAAGUCAUUUUUCCUCCCCAGAGAGAGAUCACAAGUUUGAAAUUUGCACGAGUUUCAACCAGAAAACAAAAAGCAACCCAAAAAAAUCCAUCUUGUUCACUCUUUUCAGAUCCCAAAAUCUAGUAAUUUAGGCCAUGAAAUUGAAAUUUCAAUAAUUUUAUAGAGGUAUAGUUGGAAGCCCUCGAUCCGCUGGAAGCCCUAUUGGAAGCCCUUGAUCCGCUGCCACAUGUCAAUUUUGCCACCAUUCAAGAGUUUGUUGGGUGUUUACGUAGUACUAAAAUCCAAAGCCUAUAAGGAGAAAAGAUUAUAGCUUUUGAAACGAAACAAAACUGAUAUGUGACAACGGAUUAUCAAAAACUAAUCGAGGAGGUUCAUUAGGUAGCUCACUUUGAAGUUUUUUUUCCUAAUUUUGUCAAUAUUCCAAACUAAUUAACAUGAAUUGGAAAAUUGUAAAAUGAGUGAUCCCCACAAACUCCCAUUCAUUUUCACCUCAUCCAAUAAGGGCAAAAAGGCAAGGCACCAAUAAAACUAAAGAGCUACAUGAAUAAUAUCAAUGAAAAAACUAAGAACCUAAAACUGUAACAAAAUAGUUUGCAGCUUUUAUUCAAAAUGCCAGUUCUAAGAUGGUCAUGGGGUAAUUUUUCUUCAAAAAUGUGUGGGGCCACAACAAGUGCUAAUGUUGGUGCCUUGAGAUACUUCACCCCAUUUUAUCUGUAUAGCAAUUAGAUAUUAAAAAAUUAAAAUUGGCAAAUUACUAGCUUUUUUUAUCUUAUUUUCUAUACAUUUUCUAUUUAUAUAUCUGUUAUGCAUAUAUAUAUAUAUGGGCACAUGCACAAGAAUGUGGCAAUUUGUAUUCAAUUUUUUUAAAAAAACUUCUUCAUCUUUCUUAGAAUCAGACUAAGAAUAACGCACAUUAUAAUAAGUUUCACCCAAAGAGGUUAGUGACAUUUGGGAAAAGUUCCACCAAACAUAUUAUUUUUAUUCUACGAAAAAGAGCUGCCAUGUUCAUGCAGUGCGAAGAAAUCAUAUUUCUUUACCAUAUCCUCGGGUCAUUUGGCGUCUCAGACAAUCUUGCCUUUAUAAGAUCAACUGCAGCUACUUUUUACCUAGUAGUCUAUUAGACUAUAAAAAUUGUUAGUUUUAUGAUUUAUAAUUUACAGAUGACACAAUAGACUUCCAAUACCCAUUAUAUUUAAGAGGAUUAUUCCAUACCGGUAGCAAUAAAUUAAGUUGUCCCACAAUUCGAGAUCUUCAAAAAUUUUUAGUGCCUCCCAAACCAAACCACAACUGACCAAGAGCCUAGUAUUCUUUGAAAGCAUAAAUUAAAAUUGCAUCACUUUCUAAACAUAUUUAGAUAGAAAGUGCGAGAUAAGCAAACUAAAAAACAGAAAAAUUUUGGUAAAGAAAAUAAUAAACUCCAAAAACCAACCAAAUCCUUUGCAUAGUAACAGGAAGAGCUUUAUCAAAUUGUCAACCUACUUGGUAAAGGGAUAUAAAUAUCAUUUUAUAGAAGGAUAGAAUAUCCCAAAUUAGCAAAAAAAAAAAAAAAAGAUAUGCAGGAUUUUGGGCUCUAAUUCAAUAUGAGGACUGAAAAUUUGACUAUGUAACUAAACUCUGUGUUGAUGAUAUUUUCGUGUGUAAUAUAAUUACAUAAACACUCGUUAAGUUUCGGAAAAAAACAAAUUAGGAUGGAGAAGUUACGCGACCUAUACUAAGCACUUAAAGUGAAUAGUAACUCCGAUUUUUCGGAGAGGCCAAUCAGUGGAGAUGGCUUCUGGUGCGUAUUGGACUCCGUUCAUAGUGAUCUAAUAGCUCAUUUUCAAUGGUCCGACUAUUCUGGAACCAAUGGCACUGACGGAUUUCAGAUCUGACGCACGAUUUUCGAGAAAACUGUAGAUACAUGUAUUCUAUGUAUUUAUGCGUAGUUUUGCCUUUUGGAGAGAAGGUUGGUUUCGUUGCAAAUCGGCGACCAAAUUGGACAAAACGAAAUGGUAGACUCGAUGCCCCAGCCGUACUGAAUGCGCUGGCGUGAUCCGAUCGGAGAUCCGACGGACGGAUCUCUAGGAAUCGCGAAAAGUUCGGUGAGGGGUCGAAAUUAGCAAAACCGAAAAUCUGAAAAAAACACAAUAUUUUAUGCACCAUUUUGCGUGAUUUGAAAUGUCGAGGUGCGUAUGCGUAAAUCGCUUGUGCUGUGAAGGACUCAGUAUAAAAUUCUGAUUCUUCGGGGACUUUUGCGCAAAAUUGCAAUUGGUAUAUAUGUUGUCAUAUAGGGUUUUCUUAGCCUAACCCUAACCCUAACCCUUUAGCUCCCUCAGCUGACCUCCCCAGCCACCAAGCACUUUUCCCUGCCCUCGCCGCACGUGCCUCGGUCGCCGGCGUGCGCCUACGGCCGCCGGAAUAGGCAACAUUGCCUCUCCUCCACCAACUUGCCACCAUCCCAGACGUGGACCACACGGAAGGAUCCCCACACCUGGGCUUCCUCCCUUGGCCAUGGCCGACCUCCGGCAGCCUCCACCGCCGGUCGCCGUCGCCCCCGUGUGCCGGCAUUGCCGGUCUGGGCAGCUUGCGGCCAGCCUGUGCAGGCUCUGAUCGAGACCAGCGCAGUUGCUGGCCUGCGCGCCGCCACCGCCUUGCUCCAGCCGGGCCGCUUCCCUCCGGCCUCAGACGAACCCUUGCCGUCACCCCGGAGCUCCCCUGGCCGCCGUCCGGCUGCCGUUACCUCGUGAGCUCAAGGCCAAGUGUGUGCGGGCUCGGCCUUUCCUAGAGCCGCUGCCGCCGCCUCCUGCCGCCGGCUGGUGUGAGCGCCGGUCCUCCUCGAUCGGCCGCACUCGGUUUCCCCUGGCGCGCUUGACACCGCCGCCGCUGCCGAUAGGGAUUAAAAAUGCAUUAUUGGUGGCCUAGAAUGAAAAGUGAUAUUGGGCGCUUCGUGGCUAAGUGCUUAGUAUGCCAACAAGUGAAGGCGGAGCAUCGAUUUCUAGCUGGUAAGCUUCAAAGCCUACCAAUCCCCGUUUGGAAAUAGGAUGUGACACACUGGACCUGUGCAAAUUGCGAGGUUCGAGUGUUUGGACAGUGUCCCGAGUUUUUCCAGACUUUCUGGUGGGUCGUUGACAGCGUUCCGACCUAUGGCUGGCAUCCCGAGAAUUGUAGUAUUUUAUGUAGCGCUAAGGUCACUAAAGAGUUGGACUUAGGCUACCCUCGGAUUGCAUUCUGCACAAGGUGUACCGGUACACUCUUGAUGGCUGUACCGGUACACACUUUGUUCCGGUACACUCUUGAUGGUUGUACCGGUACACUUGUGGCAAAUUGCGAACCCGAGCCUCGGGUUUGCAUUUUCGUAGGAUGUGUACCGGUACACUUUCCCGUGUACCGGUACACUUUGGCAGAAUAUGAGCAGUUUGAACUGCAGGGGGUCUUUCGUAAUUGUGGGCUUCUUAUAACAGCACCCACGCCCCUAGGGCUCUCUCCUGGGCUGAGAAGAGUGGAGAACCAGGUAGGGCACCUUUCCCCUUCACCUUUUGGAUUUGAUCUCAUUUUAGCUUGGAUUUUGAUGGUUUUUCCCUCUCUUUUUUGCCUAUUGGAACUAUUUCCACCUUUUUGAAGCUUGGAGCUUGGGGUUGGAGUUUGAUUGAGGGAAGAUACUUGAAGUUUGAGGACUUUGAGCUGGUUUUGAGGCUUCUAAGAGGUAAGUGGCAAGAUCCUUUCCUCUAGUUUUGGAUUUUAGAGCUUUCCUUGGGAUGAAACCCUAGUUUUGAGACUUAGGGCUUAUUUUGGGCUUUUUGAACCUAGGGCUUUUGAGGCUUGAUUGGUUGGUUUAGAACCUUCCUAGGGCUUGGAUUGGAAGGUUCUAGCUCUCUUUUGGAGCUUAGGAGAAGAUUUCUACUCUUGAGGUAAGUUUUGGCCCUUUUUGCUUCUAGGUUAAUGUUUGAUGAUAUAAGGUGGUCGUAAUGCCAUCGUAUCUUUUCGCUGAUUACUUUUAGAGUAUUUUGAGACUCGGGGACAACUUUGUUCGGCGAAACGAGGCUCUACGCGACGGUUCGGUGGGUUUGACCUAGCCACACUAUGAGAACUUCUCAUUUGUGCUUAAUUAAGUAUCGUUAAAUGAAAAAGCAUGCAUAUUCUUGUUACAUGUAUUUAUUGUGAAUUUUAGAAUGCUUAAAAUGCCCAUGUUAUAUGUAAUGAAAUUUUGGACCUCUAUGUAGUAGAGAGUUGCUUGAGAGAGAGUUGGUUGCAUUUAGCAUUCUAUAUGAGAUUUGGUUUCAUGUAUCUAUAGUGUAAAUGGGUUCGAACUCAUGCAUUUAAACUUAAGUUUCCUUGUGACAUGAAAGAUGACAAAAUUGCCAUAUAGAAGUAUUGAGCUAGAAUGUAUGUGAACUAGCGAGCUAAUGUCAUCAAGCGGCAUUGAGCUCGAGACAUGUGUGAACCUAGUUGAUAGGGCCAUUGAGGGAUUUGGGAUACAUGUUGGAUAUCAAAUUGCCUAAGUGUCAUCAAGGGGCACUAGGCGUAGCAAAAGUUGAAAAUUCACAUUGUGACUUAAACUAGAUCUUCGGGAUGCUAGUGACUAUACCAUGUUAGAGACAUGAGGAUUGGAUACUUGAGACUUGGACUUUGCUUGCUUGCCAUUUGUGCUCAUUCGCACAUGCUUGUGAGGGUCGCUCCCUACAAGCCGGCACUCCGGAGCUAGCCUACGCGACUUUUGUUCGCUCGUGCGGUAUUGAGAAGCCUACGGGGUCGAGUGGGACAGACACAUUCCAUGAGUAGGGAUGUUGGGCUACCACAGGCACUUAGGCGGCACAAGCUGGACUACCUUUGGUAGGUCCUUAAUUGGAAAUGGAAAUCGACACGGUGUUGAGAAUGGAUAAUCACUACUAGAUAGGUUUAGUAGUUGAGUUACAUUUAUAUGCUUUUAGCAUAGUGUUGGGACAUGUAGCAUACUUGACAGUUACCUAUUUCAUCACAGUAUGCUUGGUUGCCAUGAUAGAGCUUAUACAUCAUGUAUGAAUAAAGGGUUGUAACAGUAAACUAUUGCCAUUGGUUACUUUUCCUUAUGAUAGAAUAGAUGUACAACAUUUUGACAUCGUGCUUAUGAGGGAUAUAGUAGUAUAGCAUUUUACUUAUGCUCUCUCUUUCAGCAGUUUAUUACAUGCUCCUUUUUAUUGCUUAUUAUUAUUAUCGUUGCUUACCCUUAUUUUUGGGGCCUAGUGGAGCAGGAGCUGAGGUCAGUAAUUGCCCACUGGGAACUAUAAAUUAUAGUUCUCACGCCCUCUUUUUCUCGAUGUUUUUCAGAGCCUUCCACUCAGGGUGAGGCCAGGGAUCGCGGGAAGGGAGUUGCUUCGAGCUAGCUUCCUUCGAGGACGAUUUGCUAGGUGGUCUACCUCUCGUUGUAUUUUAUUUUGGAGAGGUUGAGAGUUUUACCAGUGUACUAGAGACCACCAUUUUUGUAUUAGAGGCUGAUACUAUAUAACUUAUGUUUACUUUUAUGUUUUAGUUAUGUUCUAUUACUAUUGGUGUAGAUGUUAGAACUUUACUCGCUCUGAUAUCAUUAGUUGCUAGUAUUUCACUUCUUUUAUUUGUUCUAUUACUUGCUUUACUUCCGCUUUUGUCGUAGACGCCUUAUAUGUGUUGACAUAUGGCGGGUCUGGGCACGCUACCGGGAGGGCCUCCGCCGGUCCCGGGGCGUGACAUAGGAGGACAUAUCAAUGGACUUCGUGGUCGGCUUGCCUCGUUCAACGGGCGGCCACGAUGCGAUAUGGGUAAUUGUGGACCGAUUAACAAAGUUGGCUCACUCUUUGCCAAUCCACACCACGUGGGCAGGCAACAAGUUGGCGUAGGUGUACCUUGAUGAUAUAGUGAGACUGCACGGGGUGCCGAAGUCGAUCGUAUCGGAUUGUGACCCCCGAUUCACUUCACACUUCUGGAAGAGCCUGCAGGAAGCCCUUGGCACACGACUCGAUUUUAGUAUAGUAUUUCAUCCUCAGACAGAUGGGCAAACAUAGAGGACCAUUCAAACUCUGGAGGAUAUGUUACGAGCGUGUGUCAUCGACUCUAAAGGGAGUUGGUGUGAUCAUCUGCCGAUGGCCGAGUUCGCCUACAACAACAGUUAUCAUGCUAGUAUAGAGAUGGCACCGUUCGAGGUCCUCUACGGGCGGAAGUGUCGAUCUCCUGUACAUUGGAGCGAUGUGGGUGAGCGUGCAGAGUUCGGCCCAGACGUGUUGCGAGAAGCGGAGGAGAAAGUCCGCCUUGCUCGCAAGCGACUGCUCACGGUGCAGUAGAGACAGAAAAGUUAUGCUGAUAGGUGCCGUCGAGACAUAGAGUUCACGAUGGGCGACCGCGUAUUCUUAAAGGUUUUGUCAAUGCGGGGUGUGAAGCGGUUUGGAGCGCGGGGAAAGUUAAGUCCCCGGUACAUUGGACCAUACGAGAUAUUGGAGCGAGUUGGCACAGUGGCUUAUUGACUUGCCUUGUCGCCGAAGCUCGCGGAUGUACACAAUGUGUUCCAUGUCUCCAACCUUCGCAAGUACAUCAAUGACCCCGAGCAUGCGAUGCUAUACUAACCGCCGGAACUUCAAGAAGACUUGAGCUACGAGGAGUAUUCGGUGAUGGUUAUCGCCCGAGAAGUGCGAAAGCUGCGAAAUCGCGAGAUUCCCUACGUGAAGAUCCGGUAGAGCACUCAUGAUGAUCGCGAGGCCACCUGGGAACUCGAGGAUCUGAUGAAAAAGCAUCAUCCUCACUUGUUUGAGGAAUAAGGUAUAGAAAUUGAGUUUUAAUUAAGUUGAAUCAGUUUCGAGGACGAAACUCCUUUAAGGUGGGGAGGAUGUAAAGAAGUGAAUUCUCGAAAUCCGAGAGUUGGACUUCGUCCAGGAUCAACUAAUUGUCGAACGAAUAGGCUUUAGAGAAGCUAGAGAUGUCCAAAACACAAAAAGUGCUUUGGAGUCGAGUCCGCGAGAGCAAAAGAUGCAAAAAUAUGCAUUUGGCAGAUUCUGCUCUCGGGGACCGGUCCAUGGCAGGGAAGGACCGGUCCUCGUAGCUGAGGUUGUGGUAGCCAGCUGAUGCAACCGGUCCCUGGCCAGAGGGAUCGGUUCCCGUAAGCGUAUCUGGCUGAGGUGCUCUCGGGGACUGGUCCCUCAUCAGGAGGGCCGGUCUCCCAGGAACCGGUCUCUCGGGCAGGGACCGGUUCCCGUACGUGUGAAAUUGGGAAGGUCCUCAGGGACCGGUCCCUGGCAGGGAAGGACCGGUCCCUCCGCGCGAAAACUGCCCAGGUAGAGCAGUUUGAGAAAUAAAAAGUUGAGGGGCUUGGCUGCAAUUAUGCCUUAGUUAGAGAGUAUAGAGAGCAAAGGGCUCUCUCUCCCUCUCUCAUUUUACUCCCCUCACUCUCUCUCCCUCAGCUCUCCCUCUCUCUCUCAAGGAAGAGAAGAAAGAAAAGAGAAGGAGAAGAAAGAAAAGAGAAGGAGAAGAAGGAAAAGAGAAGAAGAAGAAGGAGGAGAGCAAGCUAGAGAAGGCUUGGAGCAUCUUCCUCUUCCUCUCCUUUCCAUUGGAGCUAACCUAAAGGUAGGCUCUUGAACCCUAAUGGUAGAACUUAGGGUUUUUGGGUUUUUGGCUUUUGAAAUGAGGUCAAAUGGAUCUCUAGCACCAUUAAUGGUGGAAUAGAGCUAGAAGGUAGGGUUCUAUAGUGCAAAUUGCAUGAUGUGAACCCUAGGGCACCCAACUUGAGGGUUCUUGAUAAAUGAUGAGAUUGAUCUCAUUUAGUGGCUUGUUAACCUAAUUGAUAGGUGUCUAAACGCCGGGGCGAAGUCAGAUUUUUGAUUCGUCGAGCGGGUGAAAAGCUAUUGGCGAAAUAUAGCCGAUUGAGCGCCGUUUUGGACCAAGGAGGCCGAGACAUCGUCGUAACGUUCGGCGAGAAGCAUUUCUAGAACCUUCAUACCCUCAAAAAGUGGGGGGUGUCAUCUCGAAGCAACCGAACUCUCUAUUAUGCCUUAGAAUAACAUAUUAUCACGCCCCGCCCUAAAUCCACUACCAAUUUGGCACGGUUCGGCCGCGGCGGCGGGCCGCCGAACGGACAGCACCUCCCCUGUCCGCUCAAGGCUCAACAACAGGAAUGUGUACAAGAAUCUAUCCAGGAAAUUAAAUUCUAAGCAUACACAUUCAAGAGGGCACAAACAGUGCCAACAAUACAGAGAGCAAGCGAUCCACAAGAUAUAACUAGUGAAAUAAAGAGAGUACUUUACUAACUAUUACAAUAGUUCCAACAUUCUCAUUUACAUCAUUUUCUUUAAAUGAAUAUAUUUGUCAUCCAAAAUACAUAGCUCUCCAAAUCCUCACCUACAAUGAAUCUCUCUCUACACAUAGGUGACUAAUGCAAAAAGGAAAGCUACUAUACUACCACGGUCUCACUGGUCGGGCGCGAUGCCCUUGCCGCGGUCCNUCAUUUACAUCAUUUUCUUUAAAUGAAUAUAUUUGUCAUCCAAAAUACAUAGCUCUCCAAAUCCUCACCUACAAUGAAUCUCUCUCUACACAUAGGUGACUAAUGCAAAAAGGAAAGCUACUAUACUACCACGGUCUCACUGGUCGGGCGCGAUGCCCUUGCCGCGGUCCUCUCUCUGCAGCCCUGAACCUACCACUAGAAAUAGAGUGGGGUGAGAACUAUCUUCCAUAGUUUCCAGUGGGCUCAGCCGCCGACUCUGCCGAUCUCCCCACUAGUUCCAAGUGGGCACAAGUAACAACAGAUAGAUAGAUAGAUAUGUAUCUAAAAGCUGUAAAUGCAAUAGUAGGAAAUACUAUGCUACUAUGCCCAUAAUCAUGAAUAUGAAUGCAUGCAUCAUAUAAUAAAGGUUUGCUAUCAUGCUAACAAAUUCGAUCCAUGUUCGAAUAGCAAUGUUCAAUGACAUUAAUAAAUCUUUAACCUUUCCAUUUACCCAAUCUGUGGCGAGGCCCUAGGGCUCGCCCAUGACUCACCUUUCAAUCCCAAAGUGAGGAGGGAGCUCCAAGUGCACCCAAGCCCGGGACCGUCUGCGGACCUCCAUGUGAUCCGGACCUCCAAGUGGUCCUAGUCGCACGACACUCGGGAGUACUCGACGACCAUCCCCUCCAUGUGGGGAUUGGAUGGCUAUACCAUCCCAAACGUAGACUGUGAGCUAGAUCUAUCCUCUCCAAGUGAGGAUACACUAUCACUAGGGUCAACAACCCAAUCCAAUCCACUCCAAGUGAGGAUGCUAUCAACUAGAGUCAAUACCCAAUCAAGUCCUCUUCAAGUGAGGAUGCCCUACCACUAGUGUCACGCCCCGGGACCGGCGAAGGCCCUCCCGGUAGCGUGCCCAGACCCGCCAUAUGUCUACACAUAUAAGGCGUCUACAACAAAAGCGGAAGUAAAGCACGAGAUAGAACAAAUAAAAGAAGUGAAAUAACUAGCAACUAAUGAUAUCAGAGCGAGUAAAGUUCUAUCAUCUACACCAUAGUAUAGAAAUAAAGCUAGACAAUAAAAGAAACCAUAAGUAGUACAAUAUCUGUCUCUAGUACAAAAAUGGUGGUCUCUAUACACUGGCAAAACCCUCAACCUCUCGCCAAAAAGUAAAUAUCGAGAGGUAGACCACCUAGCAACUAGUCCUCGAAGGAAGCUAGCUCGAAGCAACUCCCUUCCUGCGAUCCCUGGCCUCACCCUGCACGGAAGGCUCUGAAAAACAUCGAGAAAAAGAGGGCGUGAGAACUAUAAUUUAUAGUUCCCAGUGGGCAAUUACUGACCUCAGCUCUAUGCACCACUAGGCCCCAAAAGAAAAGGGUAAGUACAAUAAUAAUAGCAAUAAUGACUGCGAUAUGAAAGCAUAAUUAAAAUGCUAAAUUACUAAACUCUAGUAUACACAUGUCAUGAUGAUGUACAUCUACGAUAUCAUAAUAGUAUGCCCAAUGGCAAUAGUUAAAUGUCACUAACCUUUAACAAUACAUGAUGCAUAAGUUCUGUCAUGGCAACCAAGUAUGCUUUGAUGCAAUAAAAGACUAUCAAGUAUACUACAUGUCUCAACACUAUGCUAAAAGUAUAUAAAUGUAAUUCAACUACUAAACCUAUCUAGUAGUGAUUAUCCAUUCCCGGUUCAAUGUCAUUAAUCAAACAUGUUUUAGGAUCUACAUAUUGUAAUCCAGCUUGUGCCGCCUAAGUGUCGGUGGUAGCCCCAACAUUCCCACUCUAGGAAUGAGUCUAUCCCUCCCGACCCCGUAGGCUUCUCGAUACCGCACGGCGAACAUAGGUCGCGUAGGCUAACUCCGAAGUGCCGGCUUGUAGGGAGCGACCCUCACAAGCAUGUGCGAAUGAGCACAAAUGGCAAGCAAGUAUAGUCCAAGUCUCAAGUAUCCAAUCCUUAUGUCUCUAACAUGGUAUAGUCACUAGCAUCCCGAAGAUCUAGUUUAAGUCACAAUGUGAAGUUUCAACAUUUGCUACGCCUAGUGCCCCUUGAUGACACUUAGGCAAUUUGAUGUUCAACAUGUAUUCCAAAUCCCUCAAUGGCCCUAUCCACUAGGUUCACACAUGUCCUGAGCUCAACGCCGCUUGAUGACAUUAGCUCUCUAAUUCACAUGAUAUUCCAAUUCGGUGCCACUAUAUGGCAAUCUUGUUAUCUCUCAUGUCUCAAUUAAACUUAGGUUUAAAUGCGUGAAUCAACUCUCAUUUUCACAAUAGAAAACAUGAUGCUAAAUCUCGAUAGGAUGCCGAAUCAUAUGCCAGUUACGCAUGUUGUUUCUCUACUAUAUAGAGGUUCAAAAUUCAUUACACCAAACGUAGGCAUGUUAAGCAUCCUAAAAUUCACAAUAAAUGUAUCUAGCAUGGAAAUGCAAGAAUAAUCAUUUUAUAAAGCAUAAACCAAGAGAUAUGAGAAUUUCUCAUACAAUAGGCUAGGUCAAACCCACCAAAAUCGAAACUUUCGUUUCGCCGAACGGAGGUUUCCACAAGCUUCCUAGUACCCUAGGAACAUCAAAAAUGGGGUCACCCAAACGAAACGAAGAGCGAAUAGCUCAAACAUUAACCUAGAAGCAAAAGGCCAAAACUCACCUCACAAGAAGAAAUCCUCUCCUAAGCUCCAAAGGGGAGCUAGAAUCCUUCCAAUCUAUCCUAGAGGAAGGUUCUAAUCCAAUCAAUCAAGCUCCAAAAGCCCUAAAAUCAAAAUGCCCAAAAUAAGCCCCAAAUCUCCAAUCUAGGGUUUCAUCACAAAAUUCUCAAUAAAACUCUAUUUUAGAGGAAGAGAACAAGUGGACUACCUCUUGGAAGCUUUAAGUCAAGCUCUAAAUGCUCUAAGUCCCAAGUUCUUCCCUUAACAAAGCCCCAAAUCCAAGCUCUUGGCUUCAACCAUGGUGAAAUAGCACCAAAAGGAAAAAAAAGAGAGAUUAAUCUAAGAAAAAUCCAAAAGAGAGGAACCAAAUCACCAAGAGAGCAAGGAGGAACUCCCCUACCUCAAAUACCAGAGUUCUCAGCUCAGGGGAAUGCCCUAGGGGCGUGGGGGUUCUAAUAGAAGUGCUACAAAAGCAAAAACACCCCUGCAGUUUCGAACUGUGCGAAGUUUGCCGCCUUGUACCGGUACACGGGCCCUUGUACCGGUACAAGGUCCACGAAAUCCAAACUCGAGGCUCGGGUUGCUGGGCUCUGCGGCUCUGUACCGGUACAAGCUCCGAUGGCUGUACCGGUACAACCAUCAACCUUGUACCGGUACAAGCCUGCCAGGACUCAAUCCGAGAGUCAGCCAAAUCCCCUUUUUUCGGGUUUUGGUGCAAGGCUUUGUACCAUACUUCUCGGGACACGUGCCGUAGGUCGGAACACAGUCAACGACCUACCAAAAAAUCUGGAAAAGCUCAGAACACGACCAAUCACUCGAACCUCGCAAUUUGCAAAUGUCGAGUGUGUUACAUUCACCCCUCCUAAAAAGGAGUUUCGUCCGCGAAACUCAAAACAAACAAAGUACCUCAAGCCUCCAUCUGAAAAAGAUGGGGAUAGCGCUCCCUUAGUGCGCUCUCCAGCUCCUAAGUAGCCUCGCGCUCAUCGUGGUUGCUCCAAAGCACCUCACGUAGGGAAUUUUUCGGUUCCGCAAUCUUUUCACCUCGCGAGCCAAAAUUCUCAAGAGUUGCUCCUCAAAGCUCAAAUCCUCCCGCAGCUCCAUAGGUGUAGCAUCCAAUACAUGAGCCGAAUCGUGGAUGUACUUCCGAAGGACCGAUACAUGGAAUACAUUGUGUACACCCGAUAGGUUCGGCGGUAGGGCAAGUCUAUAAGCUACCGGGCCUAUCCGCUCCAAAACCUCAAACGGUCCAAUGAAUCGAGGGCUCAACUUGCCCCGGAUUCCAAAUCGUCUAAUUCCUCGAGUCGGCGAGACUUUCAAGAAGACGUGAUCUCCAAUCUGAAACUCCAAGUCUCGUCGCCGCCUGUCAGCAUAACUCCUCUGCCUACUCUGGGCCGUCAACAAUCGCUCCCGAGCAAUGCGAACCUUGUCCUCUGCUUCCUGGAGCACAUCUNNNNNNNNNNNNNNNNNNNNNNNNNNNNNNNNNNNNNNNNNNNNNNNNNNNNNNNNNNNNNNNNNNNNNNNNNNNNNNNNNNNNNNNNNNNNNNNNNNNNNNNNNNNNNNNNNNNNNNNNNNNNNNNNNNNNNNNNNNNNNNNNNNNNNNNNNNNNNNNNNNNNNNNNNNNNNNNNNNNNNNNNNNNNNNNNNNNNNNNNNNNNNNNNNNNNNNNNNNNNNNNNNNNNNNNNNNNNNNNNNNNNNNNNNNNNNNNNNNNNNNNNNNNNNNNNNNNNNNNNNNNNNNNNNNNNNNNNNNNNNNNNNNNNNNNNNNNNNNNNNNNNNNNNNNNNNNNNNNNNNNNNNNNNNNNNNNNNNNNNNNNNNNNNNNNNNNNNNNNNNNNNNNNNNNNNNNNNNNNNNNNNNNNNNNNNNNNNNNNNNNNNNNNNNNNNNNNNNNNNNNNNNNNNNNNNNNNNNNNNNNNNNNNNNNNNNNNNNNNNNNNNNNNNNNNNNNNNNNNNNNNNNNNNNNNNNNNNNNNNNNNNNNNNNNNNNNNNNNNNNNNNNNNNNNNNNNNNNNNNNNNNNNNNNNNNNNNNNNNNNNNNNNNNNNNNNNNNNNNNNNNNNNNNNNNNNNNNNNNNNNNNNNNNNNNNNNNNNNNNNNNNNNNNNNNNNNNNNNNNNNNNNNNNNNNNNNNNNNNNNNNNNNNNNNNNNNNNNNNNNNNNNNNNNNNNNNNNNNNNNNNNNNNNNNNNNNNNNNNNNNNNNNNNNNNNNNNNNNNNNNNNNNNNNNNNNNNNNNNNNNNNNNNNNNNNNNNNNNNNNNNNNNNNNNNNNNNNNNNNNNNNNNNNNNNNNNNNNNNNNNNNNNNNNNNNNNNNNNNNNNNNNNNNNNNNNNNNNNNNNNNNNNNNNNNNNNNNNNNNNNNNNNNNNNNNNNNNNNNNNNNNNNNNNNNNNNNNNNNNNNNNNNNNNNNNNNNNNNNNNNNNNNNNNNNNNNNNNNNNNNNNNNNNNNNNNNNNNNNNNNNNNNNNNNNNNNNNNNNNNNNNNNNNNNNNNNNNNNNNNNNNNNNNNNNNNNNNNNNNNNNNNNNNNNNNNNNNNNNNNNNNNNNNNNNNNNNNNNNNNNNNNNNNNNNNNNNNNNNNNNNNNNNNNNNNNNNNNNNNNNNNNNNNNNNNNNNNNNNNNNNNNNNNNNNNNNNNNNNNNNNNNNNNNUCAGCAUAACUCCUCUGCCUACUCUGGGCCGUCAACAAUCGCUCCCGAGCAAUGCGAACCUUGUCCUCUGCUUCCUGGAGCACAUCUAGGCCUAAAGCCAAUCUCUCGCCAACUUCACUCCAAUGAAGCGGUGACCUACACUUCCGUCCAUAGAGUGCCUCGAACGGUGCCAUCUUGAUGCUUGCUUGAUAACUGUUGUUAUAAGCAAACUCUGCCAUCGGUAUAUGCUGCGACCAUCCUCCCUGGAAGUCGAUCACGCAGGCUCGAAGCAUGUCCUCAAGAGUCUGUAUAGUACGCUCCGACUGCCCGUCACUCUGAGGGUGGAAAGCUGUACUGAAGUCCAAACGCGUACCCAGAGCAUCCUGUAAGCUCAUCCAAAAGUGGGAUACAAAACGGGGGUCUCGAUCUGAUACUAUGGAAGUAGGUACCCCGUGCAAUCGCACAAUCUCAUCCAAAUAGACCUGGGCGAGUCUCUCACCAGUUCAAGUAGUGUGGAUAGGUAUGAAAUGUGCCGAUUUCGUCAACCUAUCCACAAUCACCCAAAUAGCGUCAUGCCCGGCCUGUGAGCGAGGCAAUCCCAUCACAAAGUCCACUGUGACCUUUUCCCACUUCCACACUGGAAUCGGUAGGCUCUGCAACUUCCCCGCAGGAACUCGGUGCUCAGCCUUCACCUGUUGGCAAGUCAAACAUUUAGCAACAAACUCACCAACAUCCUUCUUCAUCCCGGGCCACCAAUAAAGCAACAAACUCACCAACAUCCAUCUCAAAUGCCUCGCGUUCGUCCCGCGCAAUGGCAUUUCCACGCUCCACCCAAAGCGCGCGGUCAAGAACCUCCUCAUAGGUUUUCAAGCGGAAUGCACGAAUGACCUUGAAAAUCUCGGGUCGCAACCCGCACUCAAAUACCUCCCCUCGGUCCCUAUCGCCAUGAACCAAGUCUGGUACGCAGUUAAUCAUGUGCGUGAACUCCCUUUCGUACUCCCGCACCGUUCGGCUUCCUUGCCUUAGUUUUCGAAAAUCCUCCUUGACUUUCCUUUUGUCACUCUCGGGGAAAUACUCCAUAAGGAGCAUCUCCCGAAACGCCUCCCAAGUGAGAAGAGUGUGCCCUAGCGAGCGAUUCUUCUUCGUUUGAUUCCACCACAACCGAGCCGACCCAUCCAAACAGUGAGCCGCCAGGUGAACCUUAUCCUUCUCGAGGGUAUAGAUAUCCUCGAACAACGCUCCAUCGCGGCCAACCAAUUCUCCGUCACCCACGGAUCCUUCACAUCGCCGUUGAAGGUCGGAGGGUUGAACCGCUUGAAUGCCGUCAACGCCGCCAACGUACGCUCCUGCUCGGCCUCAAGCACAUCGGAAAUAGGAACCGAUGAACCCGAUGCCGCCGGAGGGACAGCCGUCACUGGCGCUGCCGCCACCGCAGGAGGUGGUGCUACAGGGGCAGCCGGUGGGGGUGGAUCCCUUGGUACUGAGGACGCCGCCUGUUGCGCCAUCAUCUCGUGGAGCUGUCCAAUCUGCUCCCCUUGUUGUCGCAUAGCCCCGGCCAAAGCCGCUACCUGGGCCCGCAACUCGCGUACUUCGUCCGACUCCGACUGCCCGGGCUCUUCCCGAGACUCCGCCGGUGUGGACCUCAUAACUCUCCUUGGUGGUGCCAUCGCGUCUUGCAACGCAACGCACACACAUUAGCGCUCGUCACACGUGACUCUUACACGUUCCAAGUAGCUACCCAAUUAAGCAAAAGCACAAGCCUAAUUAUUUCCACUUUUGGUGUUAUGUGGUCGGCCGCCCCACAAGGUCCCUCAAGUAGACAACAAUUAAGCCUCCUAGUCCAUCUCUACUUCCUUCUAGAGAAGUAUUACCAUCAACCCAAUCACUCGCUUUCGCAUAAACCAAGUCCACGUCAAGCGUUUUCCUAAGUCCUUAGGGUCUCCAAACCUAUGGUUGCUAGGUCAUUCCUAGACUUUUGCUUUCCACUUCGCUCUAAUACCAUUAUAUUUGUCACGCCCCAAUCCCCGCCAAUUUGGUCGGGGUCGGGUCACGUCAACAGACGCCGAACGGACAGAGCCUCCCCUGUCCGCCCAAGGCUCUAACAACAUGUAUAAAUAGGCAAUCAACAAGAGAAUUGCAUAUAUAAUACAAGGCUUGCACGAGGGCAAGCAACAACGGAAGCGAAAGCUCUAAGCUAAAUAUACAUCACACAUGAUAUUUGAUUUCAUUUAAACCAAAUUCAAGUAAACAAAGCUAUUACAUUCCAUUCAACCAUCAUAUCUUUUACAUUUAGUCAUCCACCAAAUACAUGAUUGUUUACAACUUUACAUCUCUAAUUCAACAAAAUAAAGCUGCUACAUGUACACCAAAAGNNNNNNNNNNNNNNNNNNNNNNNNNNNNNNNNNNNNNNNNNNNNNNNNNNNNNNNNNNNNNNNNNNNNNNNNNNNNNNNNNNNNNNNNNNNNNNNNNNNNNNNNNNNNNNNNNNNNNNNNNNNNNNNNNNNNNNNNNNNNNNNNNNNNNNNNNNNNNNNNNNNNNNNNNNNNNNNNNNNNNNNNNNNNNNNNNNNNNNNNNNNNNNNNNNNNNNNNNNNNNNNNNNNNNNNNNNNNNNNNNNNNNNNNNNNNNNNNNNNNNNNNNNNNNNNNNNNNNNNNNNNNNNNNNNNNNNNNNNNNNNNNNNNNNNNNNNNNNNNNNNNNNNNNNNNNNNNNNNNNNNNNNNNNNNNNNNNNNNNNNNNNNNNNNNNNNNNNNNNNNNNNNNNNNNNNNNNNNNNNNNNNNNNNNNNNNNNNNNNNNNNNNNNNNNNNNNNNNNNNNNNNNNNNNNNNNNNNNNNNNNNNNNNNNNNNNNNNNNNNNNNNNNNNNNNNNNNNNNNNNNNNNNNNNNNNNNNNNNNNNNNNNNNNNNNNNNNNNNNNNNNNNNNNNNNNNNNNNNNNNNNNNNNNNNNNNNNNNNNNNNNNNNNNNNNNNNNNNNNNNNNNNNNNNNNNNNNNNNNNNNNNNNNNNNNNNNNNNNNNNNNNNNNNNNNNNNNNNNNNNNNNNNNNNNNNNNNNNNNNNNNNNNNNNNNNNNNNNNNNNNNNNNNNNNNNNNNNNNNNNNNNNNNNNNNNNNNNNNNNNNNNNNNNNNNNNNNNNNNNNNNNNNNNNNNNNNNNNNNNNNNNNNNNNNNNNNNNNNNNNNNNNNNNNNNNNNNNNNNNNNNNNNNNNNNNNNNNNNNNNNNNNNNNNNNNNNNNNNNNNNNNNNNNNNNNNNNNNNNNNNNNNNNNNNNNNNNNNNNNNNNNNNNNNNNNNNNNNNNNNNNNNNNNNNNNNNNNNNNNNNNNNNNNNNNNNNNNNNNNNNNNNNNNNNNNNNNNNNNNNNNNNNNNNNNNNNNNNNNNNNNNNNNNNNNNNNNNNNNNNNNNNNNNNNNNNNNNNNNNNNNNNNNNNNNNNNNNNNNNNNNNNNNNNNNNNNNNNNNNNNNNNNNNNNNNNNNNNNNNNNNNNNNNNNNNNNNNNNNNNNNNNNNNNNNNNNNNNNNNNNNNNNNNNNNNNNNNNNNNNNNNNNNNNNNNNNNNNNNNNNNNNNNNNNNNNNNNNNNNNNNNNNNNNNNNNNNNNNNNNNNNNNNNNNNNNNNNNNNNNNNNNNNNNNNNNNNNNNNNNNNNNNNNNNNNNNNNNNNNNNNNNNNNNNNNNNNNNNNNNNNNNNNNNNNNNNNNNNNNNNNNNNNNNNNNNNNNNNNNNNNNNNNNNNNNNNNNNNNNNNNNNNNNNNNNNNNNNNNNNNNNNNNNNNNNNNNNNNNNNNNNNNNNNNNNNNNNNNNNNNNNNNNNNNNNNNNNNNNNNNNNNNNNNNNNNNNNNNNNNNNCAAUGCAAAUCUUGUUUCUAUGUCAAUGUCACCCUUGUUUUCUAUUGUCCAAGUCCAUUCUCACAUUCACACAACUUGAGGGUCCAAUCACACAUGUCCAUUUUGGUUCUAUCAUCCUCUAUGUUCAACUACGUUAGAAGCAUAUAAAUGAAGUCAAACCAAGUUCCACAUGUUACAACCCUACUAUGCAUGAAUGGGUAUAUAUAAAAACAUAUAUGCUCAAAAAUAGAGAAAACAGACAUAAAAGGGAAUCCAACGAUUCCGGCGUGCACCCCCCACCUCUAUUGGUUGUGUGGGUGUAGAUUACGAAGGCUCCCGCACUUUACGAAAGCCGAUUCCGCGCCCUAUAAUCAAAAUAGUGUCAUAUUAGGCCUUUUUGUACAUGAACUAUACUCUAUCAUUUUCGCAAUGUUAAAUGAAGUUGUCCCACGCGUUUAGGACACCCCCAAUUAGGUUUCUACGGGGUCAAUUUGUCCCCGAAAAAUCCUAGGGCAAAAGCCCCAAAUCCAAGCCCUAAUAUUGUCAUUUAGGGUUUUCCCAUGAAUCGAUCCCAAUCCUAAGCAAACGAUAGCUUAGAAUCAUCUAAGAAGCACUCUAGUAAGGUUUCUAGACCUUUGGAACCAACCCUAGGGCUUCCAUGACAAACCCUACCCAACCACCAUGAGAGCACUUGAGCUCUCAUGGGUUCCAUGGAGUUCAAGGCAUAUAGAAGGCUCCCAUGGCCAAAAACAACCCAAAGCUCCAAAACAUAGGGAUUAAAACCAAGCUCUAGACUCAUUUCUACCAAAAACUCACCUUAGCCCAAGCCCCCCCAAGUCCUUCUUGUAGGAGAGCUUGUAGAACCCACCAAAGCCUCCAAAUCCACCUUCCCUUGCUUCUUCUUCUUCUUCUCCAAGCCCUAGAGCAAGAGUUCUAGAGAGAGAAAGAGAGGAAAUGGGAAAGAAGGGUGAAAAUGGCUGUGGGAGAGAGGGGAUGAGUCAUAUAUAGUGUUGUAACAAUUGCACUUAAGCCCCUCCACUUGUUUCCUCUUGAACUGCCAGACUGGGCAUUUUUCGCCUUCGGGGACCGGUCUCCCCGACCAGGGACCGGUUCCCGAACGGGGGUUUUCCAGGACUUAGCCAAAUUUUUGAGUCUCUCAGCUGUUGCGCAGCGAGGGACCGGUCUGCCCGUCGANNNNNNNNNNNNNNNNNNNNNNNNNNNNNNNNNNNNNNNNNNNNNNNNNNNNNNNNNNNNNNNNNNNNNNNNNNNNNNNNNNNNNNNNNNNNNNNNNNNNGUAUAUAGUAAAUGUCCUCGUGGCCAAGUCACUAUUUCAUCAUAUCUCAAAUAUGGAAUAUAGUUGAUGUCAAUGUGGCCUAUUAUCAAGUCUCUAUGUUGCAGUUUAAUAAUUCUCUAGUCCAAGUGCCUCUUUAUGACACUAUGGCUCAUUCUGUCCCAACAUGGAUACUAAGUUCAAGAACUUAUAAUUCUAGUCAAAAUCGAAGCAUGAAACUUGAUUUCCUAUCAUCUCAUAGAAUAUUCGUCGCAUGCAUAUUAACAAAACACAUUGUCUCUCUCUCCUCUACUAAAUAGAGUAAAUUUCUUGAUGCACAACAUAUGAGUUCUAAGCAUUCAAAAACUCUCAUAAGUGCUACUAAACAUGAACAUGCAUGAAUUUAAGGAGUAUGAAAGCAUUUAACCACUUAGGAGGAAUUUCCUCCAAUUUCAAGGAAGCCAAACCCACCGAUGACAACGAAACUUCUCGUGCGCUCCACGAGGGUGUCCUCUAGUCUCCUAGUACCCUAGAGUAUAGAAACAUGUGUCAUCUAGUCGAAACGAACGACGCUAAGUUCAAUCUUUAAGCUUCUCAAGCUAGGUUAGGAAAAACUCACCGAUUGCGAAGGAAGCUCUCUCGAUCUCCAAACGGGAGUUAGAGUCCCUCCAAUCUAACCUAAACAAAGGUUCUAACCAUCAAUUUGAUACAAAAGCCCUCAAAACGAAAAUCCCCAAAUCUAACCCUAAAAUGCCAAAUCUAGGUUUGAUCUAGUAAAAUCCAACAAAAUCCGAAUCUAGAGAGAGAAAUUGCUACUAACCUCUUAGAAGCUCCAAACCAAGCUCCAAAGUCCUUUAGGGUUGAAGGUUGAUCCUCAAACAAGCUCCAACCAAGAUCUCACACUUCUCCAAUUGUGGAAAACCCACAAAAAAAGCGAAGGAGAAGAGAAAAGAGAUCAAACUAGCAAAAACCCAACAAAAAUGAAGAAGAAACCAAAGGGGAGAGUUCUCACUCUCUCUCCUCUCUGGGCUCAAAAGAGCAGCCAUGAGGGCUGAGGUGACUUAUAUAGGCGUUGCAACAAUUGCAAAACACCCCUCUACGAAACAGUCAAAAUCUGCACUGCGUAUCAGUACACGGUGUUUGUUACCGUACGUGCCUCACGAAAUGCCAAACCGAGCCUCGGGUUCGCUGGGAAAUGCUCUGUUGUACCGGUACACAACCAGUACCGGUACAGCCAUCAACCCCGUACCGGUACAGCAAGCGAAUCCGUACCGGUACAACGCCUGCUGAAGGCUACCCGAGAGCUGACCAAAAAUCCAACUUUUUGGAUUUUGGUACACAGCUUUAAACCACAAUUCUCGGGACUCGAACCAUAGGUCGGAACACUGUCAACGACCUACCAGAAAGUCUGGAAAAGUUCGACACACAAAUCAAACACUCGAACCUCGCAAUUUGCAAAGGUCCAGUGUGUUACAUUCUGAUGACUACAAGGUUGCGUAACCACGCAAGGGGCGCAUUUAAUGCCCACGCAGGCGCCAUACAAUAAGGUAUACAUAUCUGAGCGAAUACGAGUAAGGUGGAGGGAGAUGAGGCGCAUUUUCAUUAGAUGACGAAAAAUUCGGACUGAAUCUGCAAAAUCGAAAAAGGCAACCCACUUUUGCAAAAGCUCAAAAAUUGUAAAUUUUUACGCAAAUUGGGCAAUAAAAAAAGAGAAGAAAUUUUGGGAAAAAAAAUAAAUAUUGAGGGGGCCUCCGUACAUUUUCACUGAUCAUUUUUUUUCCACGAUAAAUGCUACCGGCACAGGCGGAAAGAUAUGUAAAUCUUACACCUUCUAGUCCUAAAUUUAAAUUUUUUAAAAAAUUUUAAAAUUUGAAUAAUAAUAAUUUUAACAAAACAAGAUCCUAAUAUGAAUCCUUGAAUAAGAGGUAUAAGAUUUACACAUAUUUUUAGCGAUAUUUUAAAAACAAAGUCGAAUAGCAAUCCGAAAAUAUUACUGGAUCAAGAGUUACUGGCUAAACGUACUAACGAUAUCAGCAUGAUGACAUAAAUAUUUAAUUAUCAUUUUAUUUUUAUUAUAUAAAAAAUAUGCAUAUAUUAUUAUUUUAGUAUCAUACUUAAUUAUAAAAUAUUGAUUUGUAGACCAAAUAAAAUAGACAUAAGUUCUAAGUAAGGUUUAUUUUUUAUAAGGCUAAUAUGUGCUAAUAGAAAAUAAAAUCAGUUAAAAUUAAUUUUAAGUCGUUAAAUUUUAAUAUAAUUUGAUUAAAAAAAUCAACUGAUUUGAUGAAAAUCAAACAGCUGAUUCAUCAGUUUGAUAGUUGAAUUGUCGUUUUGAAUGGUUCUAAAUUAUUUUUUAACUUAUUUGGUUUAAAAAGUUAAAUCAAAUCACUUUAUGCACUAAGUAAUGAUUGUAUUGGUGGAACCGGCUAAUUCCACAUGAAUUUUAAAUUAUUAAUUUUUCGGCUAUGUUUGGUUGAAGGAAUAAGGAAGGAAUAAGAGAAUUAUUUCUCUUAUUCUUUCAAACGCCAUUAAAAUUUACUGUUCUCCUCUUAACGGACCAUUUUAGAAUAACCCGUUAAGAGAAGAGAAUAGUAGUUCCACUCUUUUGUUGGAAUAAGUCAUUCGCUAUUUUAUCCCUCUACUAAUAAAGUUAUAAAUAAUGUAAAAUAUUAUUAAUUAAUACAAUUAACUUUUUAAUAAUUAACUAAUUAAUUAUUUGACUUAUUAACUUAAUAAGUAUCUCAAUAGUAAUUAAUUUAUUAUUAAUAAUUAAUUAGCUAAUUAAACAAUUAAAAUUGAUAUGCUUAUACAAUCAUUAACUAAUAUUUAUAUUAGUUACAUAAUUAAUAUUUUAAUUUAUAAAAUUAAUAUAUUAACUAAAAAUAUAAUUGAUUAAAUAUUAACAUAUCGACUUACUUUUUAGGAUUAUUCACUAAUUAAUGUAAUUCUUUAUCAUCUCAUAUAAUUUUUUCAAUUAAUUAAUUUAUUAAUUUGUUAAAAUAUUACUUUACUAAUAUUUAAAUACUUAUUAUUUAGACAAAUUACUUUCUUUUGCAAUCAUAAUUACUUUUAUUUUUACUAUUCAAUCCAAUUAUCCCUCAUAAUAUCUGGUGGAUUCUCGUCCAAACGCAAAAUUAAUUUAAUUCUUAUUUAUUUCAAAAUUUAUAUUUAUUUUAUAAAUAAAUAAAAAUAAUUUAUUUUCGAAUCAAAGAGUAUCUAAGGCUACGUUUGGUUUGGGACCCUUUGUACUCAAGAACAGUAAUUCUUAUAUUUCUAGAAUAAGCUGGCAUAAGACUAGAACGGUUGUUCUACCCUUUUUCUGGAACAAGUUUGCUCCCAGGUGGUAACAAGAUUAAUUAAAGUCUAAAUUUAAUUUUAAUUAUAAUAUUUAAUUAUUAAUUAAUCUACUUAAUAUAUUUAAAUUAUUAUUUAUUGCUUAAAUAAUAAAAUGAUUAAUUAAUUUAUUAUUUAUAAUUAAUUAUUAAAAAUAAUUUUAAUUUAAAAUUAUAACUUUUAUUGUACUUAUUCUAAUCUAAUCAUCCAAAUAUUAUUUAUCUUAUUUUAAGGAACAAUCUAAUUUUUAUCCAAACACAAAAUUAAUUUAAUUUUUAUUUAUAUUUAAAUUUAUAUUUAUUUCUAAAAUAAACUGUUCUUAUUUAUACCCGAACCAUAUUAAUUCAAUCCAAUAAUACGUGUACAAAUGACAUUCCUCUUUUCCCGUUUGGGGGCGCCAAGUGUGAACUGGAUGUGUCGAUAUCGAUCCUUGCUUUCUAGUGUCAAAAUCAAAAGCUAAGUAUUAUUAUUUGUGGGGUCCAUAGCAGCUCAGGUCCACGAUGCCGCACUCAACAAGUAUAUUGAUGUGAUGUGGACUCUUAUUAUAAUAUCAUGAGCUGUACCUGGUACUAUAAUUGCAAUAGUAGAUAAAAAGUGUAGACCGAGGAAUUGUAGUGUGCACGUGUUGCAUACAUACACAUCGUGCACCACCCUUAAAAAGUACUAACUAAUGACGAUUAAUAUUUUAAUAUUAAAAUUAGAUUCAGUAGAUUCAGUUUACAACAAGUACAAAAUUACAAGGCUAAAUGCAGAAAAUCUCUGAUAUAAAUAUAUAUAUAUAUAUAUAUAUAUUUUUUAUUUUAACAUUUAAUAUUGUUGUAGUUGAUAUCCUAGCGCUGUAAUUAUUCCGGUACUAUCACUACAACAAAAGCGGUCUAUAGCGACACUUUUAAAUAUAGGUACAUGUCAAAAAAGUACUGCUAGCUAAAAUUACCGACAUUUUUAAAAAGUGUUGCUAUAUGUAGGGUCGCUAGGUAUAUAGUGACAGUUAAAGUGUGUCGCUAUAAUCUAAAAGAGUGCUGCUAAUUUACCAACACUUAUUUAAGAAUUUAGCAACCGCCGAAACUCUAUCUCGUUGGCUGUGGUAGCGGAGGAGGACGACAGUAAAGGCUCUUCGUCUAGAAUUUCAGUGGAUUGAGUGAAGAGAGAAGAAAAUAUGGUAAUUGAUUUUUUUUUUUUUUUCUUUUUUGUUUGUAAUCGGGUCAAAUGGACUAGGUGUGGUGGUUGAGUAGAGUAAUCUUUUAUUUUUGGUUGGAUUGGGUUUUAUAUUUAGGCAUAAGUAGAUGUUUUUUUAAGUUUUAGCAUAAAUAGGACACUUACUCAAAAGUGUCCCAAACAUGUGUCCCUAUAACCUAAUUCUGUUGUAGUGUAUUCGAUUCAUAAAUUAUAUAGUAUUAGCGAAUAACUUGCUGAGUUAUUAAUAACAACACAUGAGAAUGUCUCUUUCUCCCAGAGAUUUAGUAACUUCAUGAAAGAGAUUUUUUUACUAUUUCUACAACUUUACGUUGUUUUUUUUUGUCAUAUCUAAAGGUUAAACAAAUAUAUAUAUCAAUAGUACUCAUUCAGUCGUAUCAUAUAAUAUGACAAAGCAGUAGCAAUACGAGGUUAGAUGCUACAAUUUUAAAUUUUGAGGAGAAAAAAUUAGAGGUUUUUUAAAAAUACAGAGGCAAAGUGCGAAAAUGGAUAUUUGUAGGGGGGGUUUCGCAUUUUGGCCAUAAGGAUUAUGUAUACAAAAUUACAAGCUUUGAAAACCUAUUAAUGAAGUAUAUAUAUUAAGUUGUCUCACGAAUCUCAGCAAUAUAGAUUUGAGCAUUAUUUGAUUCAAACGCAUAAAUUUAGCCUGACUAUUUAUACACUUAAGUCAUUAAAUUAAGCCAAAACAAACUACAAAAAUCUGUAACAGCUGUUCGACGCUUUAAAAUUAAUAUCCAUCCUUUAUUUAUUGGAAUGCUAAGGUAAAUAUAGUAGUUAGAUCUCUUAUAUAUAUUUGUCACUUACUAAGUAAAAGAUAUAAUAAAAUUCAGAGUCAAUGAGAGGUUGAAAUAAAAUAAAAGAUUAUGCAGGUUUCUAUGAACUGUUUGAAGCUCAUGAUCAGGAGUUGUCAACUAAUCCUUUGUCUCUAAUUAAGAGUUUAAGCAUGCAGUUUCCCCUAAAUCCAGGCUCGAUGACACCUUAAGGUAUAAGCAGUUUCCCCUAAAUCCGGGCUCGAUGAGACAAGGGAGUCGUUGGAAUUUGAACUCAGCGCCAUCUGUUUUGAUAUAUACCAUAUGAAAAGAUAAAUUUUAGAAGAACUUCUACGCUCUAAAAAUAAUCAUUUAUAUCUAAAAAUAAAACCAAAGACCUAUAUUAUUAUUUUAAUAUUUUAUAUUCAAUAGAUAUUUUUUUUUCAAAGAAAAACAUGUUUUUACUGAUUUUGUCGCUUUUAUGAUAGGGUUUUAAGAGGCCCAGUGUGCUAAAAGGCUCGAACCAAUCCGUGAAGUUUAUUAAUGAAUGAAAAUGACAUCCACACUAUAUACAAACCAAAAUUUAUUUUUGCAUCUAAUGCAUAUUAUUCUUAAAAAAAUAAAGUAUAGAACAUCUACACUCAGAUCUAUGCAUAUUAUUCUUAAAACAAUAAAAUAUAGAACAUCUACACUCAGAUCUCACACCGCAUCAUCCAGGGACACAAAAAAAGUUUGUGGUUUUUUAAUAUAAAACAACAUUUAAAAGGUAUGUAAGUAAAUUUAAACCAUAUAGUGUAUAGGGUACUAGGAUUCAUAUUUAUAUUAUAGGCGUACAAAUAGUAUUGCUUUUAUUUUUAAUAGAGCAAUGCUAUCAGCAGGCCUAGUGUAUGUAUAGGCGCAAGCUUUACACGCUAACCUCUCAAAGAUCAAGAUUUACUCACUUAGCAAUUUGUUUUUUUUUUCUCUUUUAGAGCAAUACUAUUUGUACACUUAGGUAUCAUUUGGUUCAUAAAUGAAGCACUUAUUUUCCUUGGGGCUGUUUGAUUUCUCGGCAAAGUUUGGGAAAAAAAAAAAAAUCAAAAAAACAAUUUUUCAUAAAAACCUCUUUUUUCAACUUUUCCCAAACCAAAUAAUAUCUUAUAGGAUUAAUUACAUACAGCUCCCUGUAAACACAUCGAAUGAUAGAUAUUUUCGUACAAAGUUUAACUUUUUAUUUUUUUUUUAGUAGUGCUACAGAUACACCCCUAUUUAGGGUGUACAUCUUACAACUGCCAAAUCCAACAGCGGGGAAUAAUGAAAUUUUUUUUAUUAAAAAAAUAUUGAUAACUUCACUCCUUUUUUUUCGUCUCUUUCCCUCUUUUCCUCUGGACUUCCCUCUGCUCCCUCCUCUUUUUCUCCAUCUUCACUUCCUCUGUCUCUUCCUUCAUCAUUCGUCGAUUCUUCGGCAAACUCAUGUCUUGCGGCCAUCCGCAUAUUCUCUUCCUCCAUUUUAAGCUGGAGUUCUCAACCCACAUCCGCGGGUUCUUCUCUCCGAUUAGUCCCCAUCCGUGCAUCUUUCUUGGUUGUGAUCCUCAGUCCCAUCCGUGCGUAUGCCACUCAUGAUAGCCAUUCUUUUCUGUGAUAACAUAAGUGCUUUACAUAUGACAAUUAAUCCUGUUUUCCAUGCUCGUAGUAAGCAUAUAUAUAGAAAUUGAUUAUCACUUUAUACAUGAGAGAAUAUUUGAAUGGUUUCUCUCCUUGUUGAGAUUAUUCCUUAUUGUAUUAAAAUGUAUAGAAGUUACAAAACAUUACAAAUGGUAUGAUAUGCAUAAAAGAAAACAAUUUGAAAUAAUAAAAUACAAUCAUAGUUUCUUUUCUUAGAGUGGAUGAAAUCAAUCUUGGUUGAGCACAAAUGAUCCUUCACGAGAUUUGAUAAACUUUCCUAAUUCGUCUCUUGAUCAUGAUCAUUUCCUUUUUGAUGAGAAUGUUCAUUACUCCCCCGCAAAUGUCUAGACCACAUGCCGAGUUUGGUUCGUAAUUGUGUAAAACCAGAUUUAGAAAGUGGCUUGGUCAAUACAUCGGCAAGUUGAUGAGGAGAGGAGACAAACCGUGUGACCAAAUGACCAAAAGCCACCUUCUCACGUAUAAAGUGAUAAUCAAUUUCUAUAUGCUUACUACGAGCAUGGAAAAUAGGAUUAACUGUCAUAUGUAAAGCACUUAUAUUAUCACAGAAAAGAAUGGCUGGUUUAUCAAGUAUAAUACCAAGAUCACACAAUAUAAAGGACAACUAAGUUAACUCUGCAGCAGUGGAAGCCACAGCUCGAUAUUUAGCCUCGACACUAGAUCGAGAUACCGUAGGUUGUUUCUUCGCGCUCCAAGAUUAGCAAUUACUUCCAAGAAAAGUAUAUAAACCGGUGGUAGAUCGGCGAGUAGUAGGGCAGCCAGCCCAAUCGGCAUUGGAGAAGGCAUAUAAAUCAAGAGUACUUUGAGAUAAAAUUCGAAUUCCAAAAUCAAUAGUACCACUGAUAUAACGAAGAAUGCGUUUGACAUUCUGAAAAUCUUGCAUUGUCGAUGACUCCAUAUGUUGACAUGCUGCAUUAACAGAGAAAGAGAUAUCUGGACGAGUCAUCAUCAGAUAUUAUAAAGCUCCAACAAGACUUCUAUUAAAAGUAGGAUCUGCAAAAGGACGAUCAUUAAAACAAAGAGUCUUAGCUUUUAAAGCCCUAGGAGUGGAGACAGGUUUGCAUGCAGUCAUUUGAACCCAGACCAAUAAAUCGCGUGCAUACUUUCCUUGUGUAAGAAAGAGUCCUUGAAAAUUUUGAACUUCAAUGCCAAGAAAGUAGUGAAGUGGUCCCAAAUCUUUCAUAGAGAAUUCUCGAGCAAGAUCAUUAAUAACGGUAUCAAGAAGGUCUGGAUUAUCUCCGGUUAAAAUGAUAUCAUCAACAUAAAGUAAUAAAAUAUUUUUUUCCCAUAUUAGUAUGGCAAACAAAAAGGGGAGAAUCAGCUGUGCUGCAAUAAAACCCAAGACCAAAUAAAAAAGUGCUAAAACGAUCGAAUCAAGCCCGUGGAACUUGUUUGAGUCCAUACAAUGCCUUCUUCAAACGACAAACAUGAGUUGGAUGAAUUGGAUCAAUAAAACCAGGGGUUUGAGCCAUAUAGACAGUUUUAUGUAGAUGACCAUGCAAAAAGGCAUUUUUAACAUAUAAUUGCCGAAUAGGCCAUCCUUUAAUUGUAGCAAUAGUAAGUACAGUUCGAAUACUACCUGGUUUGAUAACAGGGCUAAAAGUUUCUGAAAAAUCGAUACCUUUUUUUUUAUUAUAUCCCUUACCAACAAGUCAUGCUUUAAGACGAUCGAGACUGCCAUCAGCUUUUAAUUUUGUUUUAUAAACCCAUCGACAUUCGACAACAUUCAUAAAAGAUUCCCGAGGAACAAGAUCUCACGUAUCAUUUUUCAUUAGAGCAUCAAUUUCCUCUUGCAUAGUCGAGCACCACCCAUCAUGCUUGAGUCGAUUGAAUUGACUUAGGCUCCAAAGGAGUAUGAUGUGUAAUCGAAAGUGCAUACUUGGGAUUAGGUUUAAUCACACCUACUUUUGAUCGCGUAAUCAUAUGAUGAGUAUUUGAAACAUUUUCAGUAGACAUAGAGAUAGUGGAAGGCUCACCAGUCAUAUUUUGAUUAGGUUCGGUCAUCACUCGAGAGGGUGAGAUGUCGUCAGGAAGAGUCAUGUCACCACUUGAUGGAGCCGCAACUUCAUGAGCAAGUUCUCUUGAUUCAAAAUUAUGUUUAGCAGAUGAUGGAUUUUCUGCCAAAAUAUGUUUUUCGUUUGCCGUUGUAAAUAUUUGGGAUGCUUCAGGAUUAGAUGUUGGCUGUGAGUUGCUAGAUAAAUUCGCAAUAUCAACAGAUAUAAUUUGAUUUCCACCUGAUACACUAGUUGAUUCUAUAAAACUAGUUUGAUUUGAGCAGUCAUGAAAUGUUGAUAACUCACAUUCAUCAUGUUGAAUAUCAAAUAAAUGAGAACUAUUUGAAAAAGAAAACAGUUGUUCGUAGAAUACGACAUGUCGAGAAAUAUAAACCCGCCCUGUAGGAGGAUAUAGACACCAAUAACCUUUGUGUUUAUCACUAUAUCCCAAAAACACACAUGGUAAAGAACGUGGAGUGGAGUGAACUUAUUUUUUGCAUAAUCUCUCAAAUAUGGAAAACAACGGCAUCCAAAAAUCCGCAAACUUAAAUAGUUAGGAUUCUUAUUAAAAAGAGUUUGAUAUGGGCUCUUCAUCUCAAGUCGAGAAGAGGGAAGCCGAUUAAUAAGAAAUACCGUCGUUGAGAACGCUUCCACCCAAUAGUGCCGAGGCAUGAAAGCCUCAAAUAACAUAGCAAGACCAAGUUCCACAAUAUUACGAUGCUUCCGUUCCGCUACGCCAUUUUGUUCUGGCAUGGCAGGACAAGACAUUUGAUGUUUUAUGCCAUUCAUGGCCAAAAAAUCAAGAAAUUCUUUGCUAGAAAACUCACCUCCACCGUCCGAUUGAAAGAUUUUUAUUUUUCUGUCGAGAGGCAUCUCGACGAACUUUUGAAAUUUUACGAAGCAAUCAAAAAAUUCAGACUUUCUUUUCAAAGGAUAAUACCAAAUAAAACGAGAGAAAUCGUCAACAAAAAUCACAUAGUAUUUAAAUCCUUGCACGGAGCAUAUAGGAGACGGUCCCCACAAAUCACAAUGAAUUUUAAAUAGUAGCUCAGAAGAGAUUUGAGUAGAAUUAGAGAAAGGGAGUUUUGAAGAUUUACUCAUUUGACAACUAGAGCAAAUAUAAGACAUAUUGUUCCAUUUAUUCACUCUAAUAAGAUUAUUAUUAUAAAGAUGAUGCACAAUAUAUACUAGAUUGCGGAUGUCCCAACCGUCGAUGCCAAGUUUCUUUGGGUGCAACUUGCUGUCUAUUUGAAAAGUAGGCUUGAAUCACUUGUUUGCUAUUAUUCAACGAAUAUAGUCCUCCCUUUCUAUUCCCCAAUGUAAUCACUUUUUCCGUUCUCCUGUCCUUUAUCUGAAAGUCAUUACAAUUAAAUUCAAAGAAGCAAGAAAACUCCGACAUUAGUUGUGAUACAGAUAAUAUGCUCUUUUUCAUUUCAGGAACUAAUAAUACAUCAUGCAAAGAUAUAGAGUCAAAUUUUGUAGAGAUAUUAGAAUUCCCCACAUGUGAUAUUUACAAUCUUUGGCCGCUUCCCACCGUAACAAAAUCAGAACCGUAGUAAGGAGUGAGAUUCUGAAGCUUACUAACGUCACCUGUUAUAUGGGUUGUUGCUCCAGUGUUUGGAAUCCAAUCUGAAUCUUGAGUUUCAGAAAUGCUCAUGGAUGCAUGUGCUUUUGGGAUAUCUUCUGCCUGAUCCUGAUAUGAAUGAUUAAAACGAUGCCAACAAUGAAGUGCAUCAUGGCCACAUUUUUUGCAGAUCUGACAAGCCACCACAUUGUCAUUUGUUUUGUUUUGGAAUUGAUUUGAUUGUGCUUGUGGGAAAUAACCAUCUUGUCCUCGACCACCUUGCUCCUGUGUUGGUUUUUGUUGCAUGGUACCUUGAGGAGAGCCACGUCCUUCUGAAGUAAAACGUUGUCCACCUUGUUUAAGUGGAUUAGGUUUCUUUCGAUAAUUCUUUCCUCCGCUAGUGGAUGGGUGGCCAUAGAAAGCCAUUGAAUGAUUUACAUCAUCAUAAUGACUUUUAUUUCUUAAUUCAUGACUUUGCAAUAAAGGUAUGAUUUCAGUAAAAGCAGGGAUAGAUGGUUUCAACAUUGUAGUAGUAAAAGAUUCAUACUUUGAGCCCAAACCAUUGAGUAAAGAGAAUAUUUUGUUUUAUCAUCAACGGGCUUACCAAUGGCAUUAAGCUCAUCAUAUACAGAUUUGAAAUGGCGAAGAUAAUCUGCUAACGAGUGUGAGCCCUUUUUGAUUAGUCAUAACUUUUGCAGAAGUUCUAACUUCCAAGCUUGAGAAUCUUGCGCAAAAGAAUUCUCUAGUGUACUCCAUACCUCGUCUGAAGUCACUAGCCCGACCACCAAACCAAGCACCUUUUCUGAUAAGGUGCUUGUGAUCCAUGCCUUCACCACCCAGUCCGUGCGAACCCAUGAUGUGAAAUCUAGAUUCACGAUUCGGCUUUUGCCAUCAUCCGAAUCAAUCUCACGAGCUGGUUGUGGCGUUUCGCCGUUGAUGAAGCCCACCACAUCUUGACUCUCGAUUAGCGAAAAAAUUUGAGUUCACCAUAGCAAGUAAUUUGAUUGGUUGAGUUUGAUAGAAACAAAAUUCAGAAGGUUAAUAGAAGCUAGAUAGAGAUAGGGAGAGGUAGAAGUAUUUGUCAUGAUCAAUGGCUCUGAUAGUAUGAAGAAAAGUAAGAAGUGAAAGACUUAGAAAAUAUUUGAAUGGUUUCUCUCCUUGUUGAGAGUAUUCCUUAUUGUAGUAAAAUAUAUAGAAGUUACAAAAUGUUACAAAUGGUAUGAUAUGCAUAAAAGAAAACAAUUUGAAAUAAUAAAAUACAAUCAUAGUUUCCUUUCUUGAGUGGUUGAAAUCAAUCUUGGUUGAGCACAAAUGAUCCUUCACGAGAUUUGAUCAACCUUGCUAAUUUAUCUCGUGAUCAUGAGCAUUUCCUUUUUGAUGAGAAUCUUUAUCAAAUGAUCCUUCACGAGAUUUGAUCAACCUUCCUAAUUCGUCUCUUGAUCAUGAGCAUUUCCUUUUUGAUGAGAAUCUUCAUUAAUUCUCUUCCUCCAUUUUCAACUUGAGUUCUCAGCCCACAUCCGCGGGUUCUCUCUGAUUAGUCCCCAUCCGUGCAUCUUUCUUGGUUGUGAUCCUCAGUCUUAUCAGUGCGUACGCCACUCACGAUAGCCACGUCCCUAGGCAAUCGUGAGUAAAAUUGUAAUUUUUUCUUUAAUUUGACCCCAUUACUUCAUUUAACUCAUUGCUUCACUUUUUUUUUCCAAUAUUUUGUAGUAUUUUGAGUAAAAUAAUAUUUUUUUAAUUGAGGUGAAUUAUUUUAAUAUUUUCUCACUGAUUUGGACUACGAUCAACUAGUUAAAAGAUGACGCAUUUUUAUUAUAAUUCUAUUUUAUUGAAAAUUUUCUAUUUUUUACAAUUUUUUGGUAUUAAUAGAAUUUUUCUUUUUUGAAUAGGUGGAUGUAUAGGUCAUGAAAUUACUAUUCCUUUUAAUUUUCUUAAAUUUAAUUUUUUUUCAUUUGAAACAAUUUUAUUGAUAUUUUAUCUAGUUAUUUUCCUCCCUAAUUAGGUAUUCAAGUCUCUCUGUUAUAGUGAUAUGAAGUUUUUUAUAUUUUACUUUUUUUACUUUUUUUAGUUUUAUAUUUAACAGUAUAUGAGAGUAAAAUUUGAUAAAUUAAAUAUUGAUUGUGUAAUUAUUUUGUUUGCUUGAAAUGUUAUAAUCAAAUGUUUAUAUUAUUUUCUUUUGCCGUAAUGGUACAUUUUUAGGGCUCAGUAGAAUGGUGCAUAUACAUUAUAACUUUAGACGUAUCAAUUUUGAUAAAUAUUUUGUCCCUUCACCAUUAUUCUAAUUUUGUAUUCCGACUAAAUAUGAUGUGUUAUAGGCUACCAAUUUUCUUAAAUAUCUGGGCACACAUAAUUUUAAUUGAUGAUAUUUUAGAUGGGUGAAGAAAGAAACUAUGAGGUUAGAGACGUAAAUAUUUCGGCACCAGAAAUUAGGAUAGUUUUCAAUAAUUUUGAAGCAGUUUUAAAUUUCUAUAAGCAUUAUGCACAAUAAUUAGGAUUUGGAACUGUAAAAAGGUUUAUAAGCAUUAUGCACAACAAUUAGUAUUUGAAAUUGUAAAGAGAUCAACUAAAAUGACUGAUGGCAAAACUACAUAUGUAAUAAUCGUAUGCUCUCGUCAUAAAAAAGUGCAUUGGACCAUAACUAAUUGUAACAACCCAGUCCACUAGCAACAAUAACUCGUUGGGUCCAGCAUUGGACCAUGACUAAUUGUAAUGACCGAGCUCACUAGCAACAAUAACUCAUUGGGCCCAAACCAUCAGCCCAAACUGUUUAAACCCAAUUAUUAUUACUAGUGUCUAAGUCUCUUAUAUACCCAAUCACAUCUCCAUUCCUAUUCAAUGUGAGAUUAUUGGGGUGUGACAGACUCCCCCCAUUAAGGUCCUGACGUCCUAAUCAGUCUAAUCACACACACACAGCCGACGAUCACCACGCGAUGUGAGACUCGUCUCGCUAGCCUUGUCAUCCAAACCCUGACAUAGCCGAUCAUCUUGUCUUUCCGACCCUGGCUCAGUCGAGACUCGCCACCAGUUAUUAUUACUAAUGUAUAAGUCUCUUAUAUAUCCAAUCACAUCCUCAUUCCUAUCCGAUGUGGGAUUACUGGGGUGUGACAUUAAAAGUAUUCUAUUAUGCUAUAAGAGUGUAAAAUUGCAACGAAUACAUAUUCACAUUCAAACGAAUAAAAAUUAAAACCUGAUAAGAGUGUUCUAUUAUGCCCUAAGAAUGUUCUAUUACAGCAUAAGGGUGUAAAAUUAUAACGAAUACAUGUUCACAUUCAAAUAAACAAAAAUUAUAACCUAAUAAGAUUAUUCUAUUGUGCCCUAAGAGUGUUCUAUAAUAUUAUAAGAGUGUAAAAUUGCAACGAAUAUAUGUUCGCAUUCAAACAAAUAAAUUAAAACAUGAUAAAAGUGUUUUAUUAUACCCUGAGAGUAUUUUAUUAUGGCAUAAGAGUUUAAAUUACAACGAAUAUAUGUUCGCAUUAAAACAAAUAAAAUUAUAAUCUGAUAAGAGUGUUCUAUUAUACCAUAAGAGUGUUUUACUACGACAUAAGAGUUUAAAAUUACAACGAAUACAUAUUCGCAUUAAAACGAAUAAAAUUAUAACCUGAUAAGAGUGUUCUAUUAUAUCUUAAGAGUGUUUUAUUAUAUUAUAAGAGUAUAAAAUUGUAACGAAUACAUAUUCGCAUUCAAAUGAACAAAAAUUAAAAUAUGAUAAGAGUGUUCUAUUAUAUUCUAAGAGUGUUCUAUUAUGGCAUAAAGGUGUAAAAUUAUAAUGAAUAUAUAUUCGCAUUCAAACGAAUAAAAUUAUAACCUGAUAAAAGUGUUCUAUUAUAUCCUAAGAGUGUAAAAUUACAAUGCAUAUAUAUUCGCAUUAAAAUAAACAAAAAUUAAAACAUGCUAAAAGUGUUCUAUUAUGUCUAAAGAAUGUAAAACUUGAUAAAAGUGCUCUAUUAUGCCCUAAGAGUGUUCUAUUUUGUCAUAAGAGUGUAUAAUUGCAAAACAUGUUCACAUUCAAAUGAACAAAAAUUAAAAUUUGAUAAGAGUGUUCGAUUAUAUCAAAAUAGUAUAAAAUCUGAUAAGAGUGUUCUAUAUUACGGCAUAAGAGUGUAAAAUUACAACGAAUAAUGUUCGCAUUCAAAUGAACAAAAAUUAAAACCUGUGCCCUAAGAGUAUUCUAUUAUGUCAAAAGAGUGUAAAAUUGUAACGAAUAUAUUUUCGCAUUCAAACAAACAAAAACUAAAACCCGAUAAGAGUAUUUUGUUAUGCCCUACGAGUGUAAAUUUGCAACGAAUAAAUAUCCACAUUCAAACAAAUAAAAUUUAAUCAUAUAUGUGAUUAUAAACUAUAUAUGUGUGCGUGACACUAUACUAUACAAGUAGCAAUUCUACAAAUACAAACAAAAUAAUCAUUUAUAGGAGUGUGCAAGCUACAAUGUUCCGUUUCAAGCAGUGUAGCAAAGUAACUACUAAUACCUCAUAGCACCAUUCUACUAAUCCAUAAGAGAAUAUAUUAUUAAUACAUGUUUCCUAUAUAUUUUUUUUAUUCAAACGAACAAAUCUUAAUCAUAUGUGUCAUCUAUAAACCGUAUGUGUAUGUGUAUGACUGUAGUAUACAAGUGAAAAUUUCUAAACCCUCAUCCUAUAUUAUGAAUUAUAUGGAUACAAAUAAAAUAAUAUGUACCAGUAAAUUUGUGUAACACUAUUCUACCAAUCCCUAAAUGAGAGUGUAUAUUUGCACUGAAUACAUGUUUCACAUUCAAACAAACAAAAUUUAAAACAUCACAGUACUGUUAAUUAUGCCGUAAUUAGGUAUAUUUGUAAUGAAUACAUGUUUCCUAUCCUAAACCAAACAAAAUUUAAUGAAAUACGUGAAGUAUAAUUAUGUGACUGUGGAAGCAACUUCUAAAUUCUAAACCCUAAUUCUAACUCUAAAUCCUGAAUUUAUAUAAAUGCAACCAGAAACAAUAUAUACUAGCAGUGUUUUAAAAUUGAGUGAAUCUGCUACUCAGUGACGAAGUUCGCAACACGACAAAGGUGAAUGUGAAGAUGGAACCCUAAACCCUAAAAAUAGAAAUUUUAUAUUAAAUAAAAAAAUUGAAAGAACAAGAUUGUAGAAAUUAAAAGAGUGUCCUGUUUGGGUUGAGUCUCCUGUUUGGGUUAUGGCCAAGAGGUCAGAAAUCGCCCCCAAUUUUGGGCGCCCACGAGCGAAUGAAUGAGUGGCAGGUCCUGGGAUGGACAGGAGAGUGGUUUGGAGCGUCGUACAAGCGAUUGAGAGGUGAGCUCCUAUAAUGAAGAGAUGCAAGGGCGAGAGAGAGUUCUGAGAAGAUUGGAGCAGGAUUUUCUAUAGAGCACAAGAAUGUGUGGAACGAAACAACUGCGACGUAGAGGCGAGCUCCUGCCCGAUGGAGAGAGGCGAGAGCAAGAGAGAUGCGAGAGCGCGAGAGAGAGGCGAGUGCGAGAGAUAGAGAGAGAGGGAAUGCUUGAAACCUGAGAAAAGGGGGUGAGAUUAUACCAGUCUUUAGUGACCAUUUAAUCUCAACCACCAAUUCUUUAGUUGUAGUAUGUACACCCCAAACAGGAGUGUACAGGUAUCUUUUUCUUUUUUUUCCCUACAUAAGUCCUAACGUUUUUAAAUAUACUCCUGCUGUUAUGAUCCAUUAAAAAAAUAUAGUUGACCAUAAGUAAAAUACUUAACCGUGGUUAAUGGAUGAGUUAAAUUGAUCUUUUUAAACCUCUUAUAUUAUUGGGUAAAAUAAUUUUUGGGAGGAUGUCUUUGCAUAGCUCUAGCAGCUGAGACUUUUGGAGAGAUAUAUUUUUAAAAGAAACAAUAUCAUUUCACUUAUCUGCUGUUAAAAAAUAAAUAGUGCUCUAACGGUAACAAACCAAAGGAACAAAUAUAAAUAUCAUUGGAUAUUUUCAGGGAUAAAAAUAAAAAGUUGAACUUUAUAGGAAUAUAUCUGCUAUUCGAUAUAUUUACAAAAAGUUAUGUGCAAUUAACCGAGUCUUAUAAUAUAAGUGUAAGAUUUAUACCUUAGGCUUCCUAUUGCAAAGAUUUUUCCGCUAUAUUAAUUAGUCUUAUCAUUUUUUAAAUUCUAAGACCGACCGUCCCUAGAGCAAGUGGCAAAGGGCUUGGUGGUUAGUACCUGAGACCCAAGUUCGAAUCCUAGUUGAUUCAUAUAUUUUGCUAAGUUUAUUUCUAAAUGAAAUAAACAAAACGGAUAACGUGCUACCUAUCGUCUCCAAAAAAAAAAAAUCACAGCUCAAGAUUUAUGCUUAUAAUAUAAUAAAUAAUAAAACAUAACUUGUGUAAUGUUAGCUUUUUUUUUAUUAGUAAAGAAACACUUGUGCACCUGGUGCAUACAAUAAUUAUUUAUUGACAGGAGCUAAGACGAAUCUUAGUUGCACUUGCCAUGGAGUAGUUGGGACGGCAGCUGUUCUUCCCCGGAAUUUCGUAGGCCGGACGACGGGACACUCCCCCCCCCCCCCCCCCCCCCGGCCUCUUCUCUCUCUCUCUCUCUCUCUCUCUCUCUCUCUCUUCUCGGCCUUUAUGCCGGCCACUGCCCAAUCACCGUCACCCUCCUGCGUAAGAAUUUAUUACGCGCACCCAGCGUAUUCACAUAUCUCACGCACCGUGUAUAAUUUUUGAAGACCUUAAUAAAAUCACAAUCCUAUCCUGUUCAAUAAAUACAGUGCGCAUAAUACAAUAGGAAAAAUAUAUAUAAUAAAUAUAUUCUUUUAAGUCAACUUUGCAUAUACAUUUUUAUAAAAAUUCAGUGAUAUUCAUAUUUGACUCCUGACUUGUUACCGUUAGAAAUAAAUAAAAAAAUAAAAUUUUGUAGGAAUAUAUAUACUACUCGAUAUGUUUAUAUGGAGCCGCAUGCAAUUAAUCCGAAUAUAUAAAAUCCGCUGAGAAUCCUCGUCCAAAAUGUUAGAGGACAUUGUAUGUAUAGAUGUAUGCAGAGUGUACGGAAUGUAAUUGUACACCGGGUGCACGCAAUAAGUUCUCCCCCUUUGGAGCAGUUGGGAGCAGAGAUACAGUUGCCCCUCCCCCCCUCCCACUCAUCCGCCGCCACGUGUCACGCUCCCAUUUCUCCUGUAGAAUACUCUAUACUAGGACUGUACCGGUACUCCUAACUAAUCCCGUACUAAUCGCAGAGAGAAAUUGCGAAUCUCCCUCUCACUCUGCUCCCAUGCCACACAAUUUGUUGCGUCAUUUGGAAUUUUGGUUUCACUGAUUUCUCGCAGCUGCGAUGCUUGACAUGGUCAAGCUGAAGCUCCGCGCCUUCCUCUCCCGCCUCCGCUGGCCCGCCUCCACCCCCCGCUGCCGCCGCCAACGCCGCCCCGCAAAGCCCGCCGUAGUCGUCCGCCAAUUCGGCCGGCCGAACCCCAACAUCGACGACGACGCCGACGACGCCGCAGAAUCAAUGGCUAAGCCCAACACCUCGAAGAGCGCCGUAGUACAACUCCGUCUGGCCACGUUCAACGCCGCCAUGUUCUCCAUGGCGCCCGCCGUCUCGGCAGACCACGACAUCCGGUGCAAGUCGGCCAACGACCGGCCCAAGGGCAUACUGAAGCAGCAGAGCUUGGGGAAGUCGAAGCUGCGGGUGUCGAUCAACCUCCCCGACAACGAGAUCUCCGUCGAGAGGACCAAGCAAUUGAGGGAGAGAGCUCCCUCACAAUGUUAUUACGGCUUCGGUUCCCCGAGAUCGCACUGCGGUGCGGAGCGGAGCAUGCUGGACGUGCUGCGGGAGGUCGGGGCGGACGUCAUCGCGCUGCAGAACGUCAAGGCCGAGGAGGAGAAGGCGAUGCGGCCGCUGUCGGACCUCGCAGAGGGGCUCGGGAUGAAGUUCGUGUUCGCCGAGAGCUGGGCGCCGGAGUACGGCAACGCCAUCCUGUCCAAGUGGCCCAUCAAGCACUGGAUGGUUCAGAAGAUCUUCGACGACACCGAUUUCAGGUGUGUUCAUGCAUGUGCUCUCUCCCUUUUAUUUUUUCCUGUUUUAAUUUGUUCUUCUGAUUGAUGUUGGAAGUAAGAUAUUGUUCAGAGCUCUUUUUAGUGAACUAUUUGAACGGAAUUACUGGUCCUGAUAAGAAGGUUGAUCUUGCCUGAUCUUCUAUUUACUUUUGAGAGCAGUACAGUAUCUACCUUUGUUUAAAGCUUUUCAGAAUUUUAUCAGUUGGCUGGCUAUUAUUGCAUUAUAAAUACGAUACCAAAAUAGCUAUAACACUUCUAUUCAUGUGCACGACGAGAUUAAGCGGACAUAGGAAUUGAACUAAAAACUCUUAAAACUAAAAAAGCACACAGCUCUGAUACCAGACAAUCCAAAAGAAAAAAGUUUUUAGAAGAGCCUUAACAAUUAGCACUAUAGAAUUCGUAAUCAUAAGUCGUGAAUGUAUGAGUAUCCACACAAAAUUCUGAUUUCAGACGCUCUUAGUCGGUACGAUUCUUCAUACUUUAGUCCUGGACAGAUAGGAAAAGAAGGGAAAUUUUCUCCGUGAAAAAGGUGAGCACUUUUUUCCUGGUCGUAUUUAUUCCGUAAGCAUUCAGUGUAAUCAUCUAAUUUUCAAUGGUUCAAGAAAAACCUUUCUCAGAACAGAUCUGUACAUUCAGCUUUAGUAGGCAAAGCACAAUGUUGACAAAAGUGUCUUCUUAGCAAGGAUUAGGUAAGCCAUCCAUGUUUAAAUUGUAGAAUAUUAAGUCUAACUACUAUACUAAUCGAAAAACACAAGUACUAACUACUAUGUCCUGCUCCCACUAAUAAAUCAGCAAUAAUUGAGAAGUUUGUUUACCAGCUCAGGCAUUAAAAAAAAUGUUUCAGAAAUGUUACUCAGAGAAGCUUCUUUUCACAUGCAAAAAGUUUAGGUUCAUUGUCCUGUCAAAGUUAAAAAUUCUAAUUACUGAUAGAAUCUACAUGCUUUCCCUGUUGCUCAUUGGAUCUCUAAAUUCACACAGACACUGUUGAUCUGCAAACAGGAAUGUGUUGAAGGCCACAAUCGAGAUACCGAGAGUGGGGGAAGUGAAUUUCCACUGCACCCAUCUCGACCACCUCGACGAAAACUGGAGAAUGAAGCAGAUAAACUCGAUACUUCGGUCCAGAGACGGGCCGCAUAUCUUAGCCGGAGGACUAAACUCUCUCGACGAGACAGACUACUCGGCAGAAAGGUGGGCGGAUAUCGCCAAGGUGAGUCGGCUUUCUGCCGUUUCCCCUUCGAGUAUCCGAGUAUAUUCGAUUUCACAGUAACUUUUUGUGUGCAUCUUUGUAUUAUAGUACUACGAAGAGAUUGGAAAACCAAAACCGAAGGUGGAGGUUAUGAAGUACCUGAAGGGAAAGCAGUAUGUGGAUGCCAAGCACUUCGCAGGAGAAUGUGAAGCUGUAGUAAUACUUGCUAAAGGCCAAGGUAAGCAAUACCUGCUGUAAACUAAGGUCUCGUGCGGCACCGCUUACUGCUUACGUUAUUCCUGUGUUUGUUAGUUUGAUUGAUCACUCCAAAUGGACGUCGGUUGGAUUGUUUGCAACCUAUACAUGUAUAGAUAUAGACAUAUCCAAUCGUUUGAAAUUUGAGUUUAACAAAAGCAUUUGUAGCAUGGGAUUGAAAGAAAAUAUGUUGUGAUCAUUUUGGUUCUUUCACGUUUAAUGUUCUUUAAUUUCUUUCUGACGACAAAUUGCAGACGUGCAAGGGACAUGCAAGUAUGGGACGAGAGUAGACUACAUAUUGGCGUCGCCAUAUUCGCCAUACAAGUUUGUCCCAGGAUCCUACGGAGUCCUCUCAUCAAAGGGAACUUCAGAUCAUCACAUCGUCAAAGUCGACGUUACUGUCGACAGAGCAGACGACGAAAACGGCGGCAGACGCCGGCGACACCCGAAACAGAGAGUAGUGAAGAUGGAUAAGGCAUCCUCCAGAGGUAUAUGGGGAACUAGCUAAGAAUUGUGGAACUCCUGCCUUUCUUGUUGUUGUUGUUGUUGUUGUUGUUGUUGUUGCGCUGUUUGUAAGAUUCUCCCACAUCUUAUUUUAUGCCCAGUGGUGGGUCUGUGUGUAAUAGAGAGAUAGAGAGAGUGUAUGAUUGCAAGGAUCAGCUAACCAGGGGAGGGAACUGUAUAUUUUUGUUUCCCUUACCGGCUGCUGCAGUUGUUCUUUUACAUUGAGAGAUCGAGAAAAAGCAAUGCAUGAAUUUUUUUGUGAAUGAUCAACCAAAUGAAGGGAUGUAUAUAAUGUUACAUCUGCCUUGUGGCAAUUUAAGUUGGUGGAUCGUAAAAGGCUUGAACGAAGAAUGAGUAUUACCAGUGCGUCUGGUUUGUUCUAUGAAAAAUUAUCAGGAACGAAGGAAUUCCUAAGAAUUUGAUUUCUACUCAUUUUAUUACUAAAUAUGUGACAUUAUAGUGUUUGGUUCGCAUAAUUAUAUUAUUUGAGAUUACUAGAAAUAUAAAAUUAACAUGCUCGUCUUAUCAAUUAAUUUCAAGUAAUGUUACCAGUAAUAUAAACACCUUUUUUUUCAAUACUCACAAGAAAUCUGGUUUUAGGUUAAACUGAAGUAGCUUAGCUUAGAGAGAGAGAGAGAGAGAUUUGAGGCUAAAAGUAGUAAGAGCUGAGAUUAGACAGAGGGGGUUGAGAGAGUUUCCAGGUUAGAAAUAUGGAGAGAUAAAGAAAGAAAGUUAAGCUUACAGAGAGAGCGAGAGAAAUUGGGAGUGAGAGAGAUUUGAGAUUAGAGAGAGAGAGAGAGAGAGAGAGAUCUAGAGAGAGCAUUAGAGAGAGAGUAUAAUUAGAGAAAUUGAGGGGAUAUAAGAAUUGAGCUUUCAUGCUUUUAAAAGUACAAAGUCAUUGAUGCUUGUAAGUUUGUAGCUCUUGGAUUAAGAGAUGUGCGAUUAGGAUGAUAACGGUCCCUAGAGUUGAGUGGGUGGUUGGUUGAAUAAUAUAAUCUAAUAGACAGAAAUGAUCAAAAGAAUAAAUUUAACGAUAAAAAAGUUACAAGCAUCAAGUGCUUGGUUCUUUUAUAAGGACCAUAACUGAACUCAAGAUACAGUUCAUAUUAGUAGAAGAGAUAGAAAAAUAGAGUUAGAGAGAGAAAGAGUGAGUUUAUGUUCAGAGGAAGAUGAAGUUGGAGAGAGAAAAGAGAUGGGAUUAGAGAGACUCAAAACGAGAACAUUGGGUGAUGGAGGCGGAGAGCAAGAAAAAAAUUAGAUUGGAUUAGAAAUUUUAUAAUUACCCUAAUUCAUUAAUACGAGAAUAUUUAGAUUUUUUUUAAAAAAAAAUUGAGAUUAUUAUUUUGACGCAAAUUUCAUUCCUAAAUAUAUCUAAUACUACAAAUCAAAUUACUUGAUACAUUUAAUUGAAUAUCAUCGUAACGUGAACCAAACACACCCUAUAAAUUAUUAUGAAGGUCAAAUUUCUAAAAUCAGAACAUGCAUGACUCCCCUAGCAAAUGGGUGGUUCAAGUCACCCAACUCGACUUGUAUAUAGGGAUGCAAACGGAUCCGGAUUGGUGGAGCUCCUGCCCCGAUCCGUCCCGACGGGGACAGUAAAUGGGAGAAAAUAAACGGAUUCGGAGCAAGAAACGGAAUAAAUUUUAUGAUCCGAGGCGGAUUCGGGACAGAAAAUAGGAGAAAUUUUGACUUGCCCCGAAUCCGCCGCACCAUGAUCCGCCCCGAAUCCGACCCCGAAUCUGCACCGAAAAUCAUUAUAUUUUAGAAAAAUAUUCUUAAAAAAUAAUGUAUUUACAAAAAAAGUUCAAAAUACAAAUAAGUUAGUACUCUCAUUUCUAAUGUAUUUGAAACUUUUAAAUUUUGUUUUGAAUUACGAUUGAUAUUUUUAAUUUUUAUAAUUGAUAUUGUUAAAUUAUAUAAAUAAUAUUAUUAAAAAUUAUUAAUUAUUAAUUCAUAAAAUAUUAAUAAUAUUAUAAUUUUAUAAAAAAUAUUAGUUGGCGGGGUAGAUUCGGGGCGCUGGCGGAAGGCAGGUUACGAGGCUGGAGAAAUUAUAUAAUGUAUUUUUUAACCCGUCACGGAUUCGAGGCUGGAGGCGGGGCUGGAUUUUGCUAGUCGGGGCGGGAGGCAGGGCGGGGCGGGGCUCCCGCCCCCAGAUCCGCCCCGUUUGCAUCCCUACUUGUAUAACAUAUUUAAUUAUUUAAAUUACUUGGACCGUAAAAUACUAGAAAAUUAUUUAAAGCUUGAACAUGACUGAGAUGUAUGCAUAAUUAUGCACUACAAAUAUUUCAUUCACAUGUCUAAAAUUUGGGCUCGACAUAAAAUGGGUCAUUGGUAGGUAGGUCAAAAGCGGACUACAUACGCUGAUCAACAUUGACAUGAAAUAUUGAUAAACAAAUUGAACAGGCCAAACUUAAUUAAUUCAUCAUGAACUCAUGUGGCCCAAGCUCAAAUUCAAACAUUUCAAACAUUGAAAACUCUACUGUUUAAAAUUCAAAUAUAGCUAAGUAUCAAAAUAACCCAAGUACAUGUUCAAUAGAGGCCGCGAAAGAUCUCUACUUCCUAACUGACCAAUGUAUGUACAGUUGUAAUUUCUCAGGUUGGUACAGCGCAAGUCAAAUAGAAUUGUUACAAUCUACAUAUUGCUUAUACCAAUCGAAUACAUGCUGUUAAAUUCUGAGCCAAAUUGUCAGGUUCCAAAUUAUGUUAGGUUACAACUCGCGACAUAUCAAUUAUUGCUAUCUUGUUACAGAUCCUGCACUAAUCCUUCAUAUCUUUCUUCAUUUUCAUACCUAUUUUGCCAAGGACAUUAAACUAUAGAGCCUUGUAGAUUGAGUUUUUCUCUUCUUUUCUUUUUUCUUUCUUUUCCUAGACCUUAAUUUGUAUCAACAUCCUUCAUUUUCAUAUAUAUUUUGCCAAGGACAUUAAACUAUAGAGCCUUGUGGAUUGAGUUUUUCUCUUCUUUUCUUUUUUCUUUCUUUUUCUAUACCUUAAUUUGUAUCAACAUCGAUUUUGUUAACAAGGACAAAACAGCAAAUAAAAAGAUAAAAAGAGCAAUAGCUUAUUAUAAUAUAGCCUAUGGUUGAGGAGUCAUAAGUACAUCUUUUAUUUAUCAUAAUUUUACAACCAGCGAUGGCCUUCAUUAACUAAGAGCUCCAAUAUUAAUCAUUGGAUGAUUUAUAUUUUAAAUAUAAAAACGUACAAAACUUAUCUGAACUAUAAAUCAUUUUGAAUUGAUUAUCCAACCUUUUAAUUUAUUUGGUUUGAACCCGUCUACGCUACUUUGACUUUAAAGUUUAAACACAUUGCUUAUUUAGUGAGUUUAUAGUUGCGAGAAUUGAGCGAAUUAUACUGACUAAAUCUAUAAAAACACAUUAAUUUAAGAUCUAGAACCUAAAAUAUCAUGUUUAUUUAGGUGCACAAGGGGAGUGGUUGAACCACACAGAAAAUUUCCCAAUCCUGGAAUUUCUGCUCAAUUAAAAUUUCCUGCAAACCGAACUGAGAACACCCCUAAGUUAGUUUGAUUUCAGUGGACCUGAAAUAGGACCUCUACAAACCAUAAUAAACAACUAUAAAAUAGUGAUUUGAUCCUACACAUCUCAGCAAUAUAACAUCCAACUUCUGUGUCAUCCGAAAGCGCAUUUCUACAUUUUCCCAUAUCUGAUGCAAUAAUCUCCGACAGAUGCUGUUCAUUCGUUAGUAGGUAGGUAUUCUGAGGCUUAUCAUGCAUCAUUAACCUCUGCCCAAUUACAAAACUCUUCUGUUGGUUUCCAGACUCAAAACUAUUUUGAAGCUUCUUCCCCAAACCACAGAUUCUACAACAAGUUCGUACUCAUAACAUUCCACCCAUUUCUAUCAGUAAUAUCUUCAUACGUAUAUACAUAAAAGGCAUUUUGUGGCAUCUAUCAAAUCUUCAGCUCAACAAUGUAACUCGCACCUAAAAAGUUUAUUGUUAUAUGAGUUACUCCUUAUUACCGUCACCCUUCUUCACGUAGCUGAAAAUUAUCAGUAAAUAGCAUGAGAAAUGCAACAGGCAAAUGUCUAAUGGCUUUUACACAAGACAAAUAAUCAUUGAAUCUUUCAAAUACAUCCAAGCAGGACACACACCGCUCUAUGCCGGUCAACUACGAAUAAUUAUAUUCCAAAUGCGUCCAGAAAUACAGGAUUGAAAUUCAUAUAAUGUAUUGUAAGAAAUGCAAGUCUACAUGCAGAAUUAAGUUCAACAGAUUCACUCAAGAAGAAACAUAACAUACAGACACAGGUUUUUGAAACUCGGGGAAAUAAAUCACAUAAGUUUCUUCUUUUCCAGUAUCAUAAAGUAUCAGAACAUCAAAAUCUACCACAUAUUAAGUACAUCAAACAAAGGAUCAAUUCGAUGCCUCAUAUAAAUCACAAGAGGUGUGUAUCUUUCACAAAGAACUUACCUCUAUCAGUCCAUCAUUUAUUUGCUGACGUAAAUAAGAAAUUUGAUGCUAAUAAGAGGCCCCUGAACCAUUCUAGCAAAAUAUGUCAAGCAGCAGCAGCCUGCAGCAGCUCCUUUUCUGCCCGUUCCCGGAUCCUCCUCUCCAGCUCCGGCCUGAAGUGCCUGAUGAGCCCCUGCACUGGCCACGCAGCGGCAUCCCCUAGAGCACAUAUGGUGUGCCCCUCAAUCUGUUUCGUCACCUCCUGAAGCAUAUCGAUCUCCUCCAAUUUUGCAUUUCCCACCUUCAACCUCUCCAUGAUCAUCCACAGCCACCCCGUCCCCUCCCUGCAUGGCGUGCACUGCCCACAGCUCUCGUGCUUGUAGAAGUACGACAGCCUCGCUAUCGCAUCCACAACGUCAGUCGACUUGUCCAUCACUAUAACCGCCGCAGUUCCCAACCCCGAUUGAACAGCCUUCAAUGCAUCGUAAUCCAUCAAAACAUCAUCGCAUAUGUGCUUCGGUAGGAGAGGAACAGAAGAACCCCCAGGUAUAACAGCAAGCAGGUUAUCCCAUCCUCCUCUCACACCACCGCAGUGCCUCUCUAUCAACUCCUUGAGAGGAAUGCUCAUCUCCUCUUCCACCGUGCAAGGCUUGUUCACGUGACCAGAUACGCAGAACAGCUUUGUCCCUGAGUUGUUCUUCCGACCAAAACUUGCAAACCAUUCGGGGCCCCGCCUAAGGAUAGUGGGAGACACGGCUACAGUUUCCACAUUCGUGACAGUUGUAGGGCAGCCAUAUAGACCGGCAUUAGCCGGGAAAGGUGGCUUAAGCCGCGGCUUCCCUUGUUUGCCUUCAAGGCUCUCCAACAGAGCAGUCUCUUCACCACAGAUAUAAGCACCAGCACCAAAGUGUAUAUGCACAUCAAAGUUGUAUCCGGAUCCACAAGCAUUCUUUCCCAACAGUCCCGCUGCAUAUGCUUCUUUCCUUGCCUUUUCGAGGUUAUGACGCUCAUUAACAUACUCCCCUCUAAUAUAGAUGUAAGCGGCUGUAGCCCUCAUACCAACUCCAGCAAUCAGGCACCCUUCAAGCAGUUUGUGCGGGUCAUGGCGCAUGAUCUCUCUGUCUUUACACGUGCCUGGUUCACUCUCAUCAGCAUUAACGACAAGAUAGGAAGGGCGGCCAUCCGAUACCUUUGGCAUGAAUGACCAUUUGAGACCAGAAGGAAAGCCAGCUCCUCCACGGCCUCGAAGGCCAGAUUUCUUCAUUUCAUUGACGAUCCAAUCAGCUCCCUUCAGCACCAGAUCCUUGGUCCUGUACCAGUCACCUCGCUUCAUUGCACCCUUAAGGAAAGGGUCAUGCAAGCCAUAAAGAUUGGUGAAGAUGCGGUCUUCGUCCGAAAGGCCGCCAAAGUGGGUUUUCUCUACCGGCGGUGGUGGCGGUGGAGCCUGUGGAGUAGUUGCAGUUGUUGUGGCCUGGGUGCUGAAGAACCUAUGAGAAGAACCCAACCUCUCACUGUUAAAAUGACGAACCAAUUGUGCCUUUGGUAGAGACAAAGGGUUCUUGAUAGAUCCCUGCAGAGAUGUAAACAUAUAAAUUCAAUGACUAGCUCCUAUUCUGUUACAUUUUUAACAUUUUACAGCAAGGAUUGAAGUGCUGCCCGUGCCGUACGGCACGGGGGCGUGCCGUCGGUACAGGGGGGGGUCCGAGACCCCCCCUCUGUCUGGCGGCACGCACCUGCGUGCCGCUCGAGACAAAGCAGCACGCAGGUGCAGAGCGGCACGCAGGUGCGUGCCGGCGGCACGUACCAUGCGUGCCGCCAUUUUUUUUUUUUUUCCUUUUGGCUUUUUUUUUUUGGUUUUUUUUUCUUUUGUCCUCUAGGGUUUGGAGCCCCCCCUCCCCCCCUCCCCUCUUGGGCCACCUAUAUUGUCAUUUUUUUCACUUUGUUGUCUUUUUUUCAAUUCUUUUUUUGCUUUUUGGCGGAUACCUUUUUUUUAACUUCUUAUUUAUCAAUAUAGGAGCAAAUUUUUAAUUGACAUAGGCGAUCCACCACAGACAUCCAAUUUUUCUUUCACAAAAAAUUUUGUCAAAAUUUGUCGCACCGCGAAACUUUCGAUAAAUCAAAGGAACAAAAAUCAAUUUCCUAAACAAAUUUUGAUCAGAUAUUUUUAAAAAGAAUAAAAAAACAAAAAAUAUAGAUGUAAUAUUGGGAAUAUAUGAAUUUCUCACAAUACCAGCAAUACUUAUAUCAAUAUUGUCAAAUAAAUCUUGUAUCUGCAGAUAACAAUAUGCCAUAUGAUCCAGCGCGACGAUCUAUGUGGAAUUAAGCAGUCAUCUCUAUGUAAAGAUGUAAAUUUAAAUAAUUAUUAUACUUGUGAAUUUUAUUAUUAUAUUUUAAUUUCAUUCUACAUCAGGUAUAGCUGUACUUUGCUUACAAAAAGUUUUCAUGCAUGUUAAUUGAUGAGUAUAGUAAGGUAUAUAUAGUAAAUAUUCAUAAUUAUUUUGUUUAAAUCUUUCAAAAUAAUAUUAUAAGAGUUUAUUGGAACCAAAAAAACUAAAAUAAGUCCGUGCCAAAACGUGCCGAUAGGAGGUCAUGCGUAUCUAUCGGCACGCAAGCGUGCCACGUGUCGGCACGCAAGCGUGCCUGUGCCGUACCGUGCCAGGGACAUAACGGCACGCCCCCGUGCCACGGCACUUUAAACCUUGUUUUACAGGUUAAUGACAACUAACUAAGUAAUGCACCUAGUAUACAUUGUUGUUCAAAGCAUAAAGAUGUUUCAGAAAUUGAACUGUUGUAGCAUACUUGGAAAAUUAAUGCACUAAAUGAACUAACUGCAUAAUCAUCGGCCAUGACCACUCUUCUUGGAGAAAGGACAUGGAAACCUCUCUGGUGGUCUCCAACAAAUUUAAUACAGUAUUGUGAAGAGUUUGGUAUCUAACUACUGCAGCAAGCACAUCCCUUUAGAAACUAUUUCAUACAAUGGUUAAUAUUUGCAAACGCAGUAUAUGAGAUAGUACAGGAUAUCAAAGAAGAGGAACCAUGAGGCACAGCCAUCAGAUCCAGGACCAACAGCACGGGAAAGCAAGUGUAGUGACAUUAAUUUAGAGCCAACAGGAAGGGGUUCAGCUUUUCAGAGUAGCAAUGGUGGCAAUGUGAUGAAGUUCGAAGGUGGUGUCAAGGUGUUCCAGUAGAAGAAUAGGCCUGAAGAGAUGACUCAAGGCCAGAAACAGUGUGUUGCCAGAACAACGGCUUACUGUUCUCCACAUUAAUCGAAACUUGCUUUGCUCAAAGGCAUAAUUGCCCAUGCCAAAAGUCAUAUGCAUUCACGUCAAUUAUGUCACACUUCGCUGCAUCAUGGUAUUCAUGAUGCAGAAAGUAAGCGAAAGAGGCAGUGUGACGAAUGUGAUACAGGCUACACCCAUCAUGAACAACAUAAUGCAGAUGAAAACAUGGUAAAGCAGUGAUGCCUUAUUCCUCCACAUAUGUUCUAAAAUGAAUUAUUUGUAAAUGGCUCAUCUCUACAAACUUAACAUGAAACACCUUGAAAGAGAGAAACAAAAGAAAAGCUGCAUAGUCCAUGUUUAAGAAAAAUAAGGAAAAGAACAAACCAGGGGAAAAGACAACAAAGCAAUCAUAAUAACGUGAGCACAGUCUGCUUGACUAAGGCUCUGGUACAAAAUUUGAUGUGUGAACAAAGGAGGAAGCCUCAUAAUUCCAUGACAAGCCCUUAGAUUGUUAACAAAGAAAAGAUACCAUCUCGACAGGAUUAUUCACAAAUAACAAGAAUGAUAUAGACUCUCAAGUCUCAAACUAAUAAUGUUGCUACAGGUGCCCUUUGAAUGUACUUGUAGAUUAGGUGCUGUUUAUAGAAAAACACAUACGCAUUGAAAACACCAAUCAAUUAGGCUCAAAAAGAGACUUUACAGCAGCAGCUGAUUGGGAUGAGCAACCAACUGUGAGUUUGAAGAUGAAUUUUUGGAAAACCCUGAUUUUCAAUCUUUCUACCAAACUCAACAGUCAACAAUUAUCUUGAUACAUAGAGUCUCGCAAAUUUCCACAGCUACGAAAGCUUGCUUUAAAGAUUCAGAGAGGAAGAACUGCUAAAAGACUAGAGGAGAGUUACAGAUAGAGAUUAUGGCAUCAUACAUUAAGAACAAACAUAGUUGAGACCAUGACUACUCAAACCAGAGAAUGUAACUUUAAUUCAUCAUAAUUAUAUUGCCACAUAAGCGUACGUUCAAAACCUCAAUCCAAACAGAGGCAACUAGAGCACUAGAUGUCAUCAAAACCCUACUUCCAAAGUUAGAACCACAGUACGACCAUGAUUCUUCUUUCCAUCAAUGGAAUGAAACUCACAUUCACCUAUCCUAGAAUAAGUCUAGGUAUAUCACAAACCAAUUAAGCAAGUUGAAUCUUACAUUUUGAAAUUGAAAAAAUGGAAGAAGUUUCAGUUUAAUUAAACCGGGUUUAAUGUAUGCACCAAUCCCAAAAAAUACUUCACUGACAAGCUAAUAAUUUUCUAGAACUAGACAAGCACAUUUUGGAAUGCCUUAUUCAAGUUAUAUUGCUAGUUUCCUACCGUUAGGCUGUAUUGCUAGGUAGGCUGGAGUCUCAACUGUUUCGCCAUAAUUUCUGCUUGAUUCCUACUUGAGAAAAUCCAUUACAAAGCAAAUUCAUGAUUCCCUAGUACACAAUACAUGACUAGAACAAAAAUUAUGACAAGAUUGUUGCUACCCUAUACUUGACACUAACCCAUCUAAAAUAAGUUAACCCAUCGUAUUCCCUACGAAAUGAUAACUCGUGUUUUCCAAUUACACUUUAAUCAUCAACUCUCCACAGGAUGGCUAUCCAUUUCAGCCUUGCACUUCUAUCUUUAUGACCCGUAAGAAAAAGAAGGUAAGUUGUUGGAGUGAUAAGAGCUCUUGCUGACAAAAAAUUGGAAAGAACUAGUUUAAGAAAAAGCUAAACUAAAAGCGAGAUAAAUCCAUUAAAUCAAUAUCCCUAAAGAGAGAGAAUGAGAGAUGGAUUUUAAAGUGCUCAAGGUUCUGGAGAUCAACAGGAAGCUUAGAAUUCUAUUGCUGUUCCACAUUCAGGAGAUAUAGAUUGCAAAAAUUUAUUAAAUAUCUUGAUGUUAAUUUGUUCUGCAUUUCCCAUUUUCAAGUAUCUGAAACAUCAUAUGUCCACAUCUCUGUAUCAUAGGUUAUCAAGAAUUAUUUCAUGUAAGUUCUUCAUUGAAUAAUUGUAGGUUCUUUUUAUCCUAAUCUAAAUCUCUCUUUUUGAUACAAAAUAUGCAAUGCACAUGAGUGUUUGCUAGUAAUAUGACAGUCUAGAUAGAAUAUGGUGAAGUAGUUACAAAAUGAAAAGGCCAAUCAUCUAUAGCACAUGCAUAAAGAUUAACAGCUAACUAUUUAACUAGAAUGCAAUUAUUGAACCAUUAUUAGCUCUUGUAUUUGUGAAAAAGAUCCGAUAUUCACAUUAAAACGAGUGGUGUUAUUCUUGAUAAGUAGCUCUCUAAAAAUAAUAUAAAUUGUGUCUUGUCCACUCUUGUCCGCUAGGUUCCAAUAAGUUAUAGCGCUUCAAAGAUUUUUCUGUGAUACCCAUAUGAAAGAAAUACUAAAUAAUACAUAUCAGUAUAUAGGAUCCCGACGAAUUUCGUCAAGUUUCUCAGGUUUGUUAAAUUAAACUUAAAUUUUCUAAAAAGUUUAGAAUCAAAAGAAUCACAAUGUCUUCAGUCCUCAAAAGGUGGCAAAAAUGUAUCUUAUUCUUGCUGUACAUAUAUAGCUACAAUCCGCCUUGUGCACAGGAUCUGAAAGAGGGGAAAUUCAAAAAAGAGAGAGACAGAGAGAGAGGGGAAAUAAGAAAGGAAACAAGAAAACAGAUGAUUAACAAGAAGGAAGAAGUCUAUCUUGAUCAUCAUUGGGCUAUAUUCUACAUAUGAUUGUUUUAAUUGCAAAGAUAUCAUACACCAUCUAUUAUCUAGUAGUCUAAAAUCAUCUUCACUAAUUGUUCAGCGGUAUCGUAAAAUUGUAGGAGUCUCUUCCUUAGCUCUAAGAGUCAGGCUCAACCAACAAAUAAAUUCAAAACCAUAUUACGCGGUCCUUACAAGAUCUAAAGUAGAAUCCAAAUGUUAAAGUUUCCACAUCACAAUAACUUUAGAUGUAAAUGAAACGUUAAUAAAGCUAAAGACAUUGACAAGUUAGCAUCCAAGUUAUGCAUUCCAACUUAUGCAUAAGUUAGAGCAAUUGAAACUCUUAUAAUUCUAAAAACAUUCUUCUCAACUUAAAAUAGGUGAUUAAAACUAGAGGAAGAGGUUUCCGGCAACAAGCCUGAACUUCCCACGAACAAAUUUAUGAAAAGAAAGAAAAAUUACUAGCCUCUACGUAUUUUCUGGAUAUAUUUAUGCUAAAAAACGAAAUGCAUUUCAGCCAUUGUCCAAGUCAAUUAGGCAUGACCGAUUAACAAAUGAAAUGUACAUAACAAGAUAAAUAAUGCCUCAAAAGACACUUAGGGCUCAUAAACAAACUAUGGUGGUAUACCCACGAAGCGUUUUUUCUCCUUUGGAGAGAAAAAAAGAAUAGAAGGGGCACCAAUCAAAGAAGUUUAAGGUGGCUAAUAUUUAGAAAGUCCGCAUUUCUUGAUAUCUUUGAAUUGCUCAAUACAUACUGUGCAUACUCAAGCAAAUACUUGCAGACAAGGAGACUAAGCAUCCUGUAAAAUAAAUUAGGCACAUGCUGACAUUUAAACCAGAAUUACAUAAGCUUCCAAUGGACAUUACAGGCAAGUGAAAAUGCAGAUAUGUUUGCCAAGAGAUAUUAAGUAAUCCUAAUAUUAGAGAUACUAAAUAAGCAAUGCUCUGACAAAUUAUAGUACCGGAAGUAAUAUUUCCAUCAAAAACGAAGAUAACCACAAAUUUAUGACAGACAGGAGGAUCGUCUUAUAGCAUUAGCAUAUGGUUAUUAAACAUAGACCAGCACUAAUGGCGGAUAUGCAAGAACAAUGUUGCCAAGUGCUUCUAUACUACUACAGAAACAUGUCUAUCAUCUAAUCUCUAGCCUGAUGUAAUAAAAGAUUAACAAUGACGCAUGCAUGAGAACCCAACUUUAUCCAUGUUAAUUAAGUACAUAUAUAGAACGGUAGAUAUAUAGUUUGCAAGGUGACACCAUUUUGCCAAACGUUGGAAUCAAGUUAGUACAUUCUAUGGAUAAUACACCAUCUCAAUUUUACUUUCCUCAUCCCAAUAAUUGCGGGGAGAAGCAGAAAGUGGCGCAAUAUCCAAAAAGUGUCAGACAUGAAAAGAAACUUUGUUUCUAACAAAAAAUAAAUUAUCUUUUAAGCUUAAGCCCAAGUCCACAGGAUGACAAGUCAUUUCAAUCAAAUCUAAAUUUAGAUUUGUGCAAUAUCUCCGUAAUCAAGAUGGGCUUAUUACAUAUUGACCAAGCAAAUUGUGCCGAUUUGUGGCAAUCAAAUCAUCUUAAUGGUGCAUGUGGCAUCAUUUUCUUUCUUACUAUUCCCAAUGUUUGUUAGGAAAAUCAGAAGAUAGAGCAAAUAUUAGCAAUAUUUCGGAAGUAAAAUCAAAGAUAAUCUAUUUAGUAAAGAUUUCUGCUUCUAUGCCCACUAGGGCAUUAAAUGGGGGGAAAAAUUGCUUGGCAUUAUCUUUUAAUCCUGCUCCAGCAAGUUAUUUCAGUCAGAUCUAAAAAUAAAUUUCUGCAUCCAGCCUCCAUCUUUCAGGUAGUGUUAUCCGUGCAUCUAUAUAUGUUUACAACAUCUUGAACUAGGGCAUACUUAUAUGCAACAUCUCCUUAAUUGAAAUGGAUGGCAUAUUUUAUAUUCUUAUAUAUGUGAACAUAAGAAAUCAUCCUUUUCUACUGGCUACAAUCCUCAAAAUCUCUGAAUAAAUCCAAAAACAUCUGUUUGAUAUCCUCACUCUGCUAUACAAGCACCAGCUUGACAUAUUUGUCAUGUAGAAUUCCGCACCCUGCUGUAAAGUAUCUGCUUCAUAUUCUAGGCAUCCACAGAAAAGAAGAAAAGGUGCAACUCCUAUAGCCCGUUGAAGAUCCAUACUUUCAAUAGAAGCGUUAAUACACAAAAUAGGAAUCACAUACCCACUAUUCUCCCAUUUAUAUUAAUUGACUAAGAAUGUAUAUGGAGACAGGGCUCGUCAAACAAGCUACUGAUACAAACGAAGGUGUUAACUUAGAACAAAGUGGCAAAUUUUCGAGCGAAACGCAAUCUCAAACCGAAUCCAAACGCGUCGGAUACUACAGAUCCCCAAAUACUGCAGCUUCACCGGAACCCGAGAUAUCUAGGGCACUGAUUCCCUACGUCAGAUCGCCGCGAUCGCCAUAAAACCCCCAAAGAAACCUAGCUUCCCAAUUUAACAACCCAAUCGCAAACAACAAAACCGAACCCUAGAUGAAAGCGAAAAAGAUUUAGGGGAUCGGGGCAACGAAUACCUCGUCGAUGAGGGAGGCGUCGUCGGCGGCGACGCCGCGGCGGACGAGGUGAUGGUGCGCGGCGGAGAGCGUCGGCGCCAGUGCCCCGACCCUCGCCCUCGUCAUCAGAUACUUCGCGAGAGCGCUCGCCAUUUCCGGUGAUAGCUUCGAGCGAAAAGGUUUCGUUCUGCUCCGCUGCUCCUGUGCAGUAGUGUUGGAGAGGGGGGGGUGGGGGACGGCGAGACGAACGCAACAGGGCUGGCGACACUCGGGCCAGAAAGAACGUGUGGCACGCGCGCUCGCACGUGACUAGUAGUAGCUCGGCCUGUGAAAAUUAGGCCCAAACUUGAAUUUUGGAGUUAACUUGGACUCAUAUAAGAUCAGCCCAAAACCUAAUUCUCGCCGGUGGUCCGUAACCUUCACCAAUUUAUUUCACUAUGAUACCGUCCCUAGUGCAAGUGGCAAAGAACUUGAAAGUUGGUACCCGAGAUUUCAAGUUUAAAAUUCGGUUGCUUCAUAUUUUCAGCUAAGUUUAUUCCUAAAAACAAUAAACGAAACGGGUAUCAUGCUACCUUUCUCUUCAAAAUAUAUAUAUACAGUCAUGUGCUUUCGAAAGUACGGAGGCCUCCGUGUUUGUAAGUUAUUGUCGAUGAUGGGACAUCCGAUUCAGCGAUCCAUUCUGUUAGACAUGAUCUAUGCUAUUGGAACUAUUUAGAAACCAAAUUUUAUAAUUUUUUGACUUCGUUUGCCUAGUGAACAAGUAACCUCAAAAUGAACGGCUGAAAAUAAAAAUCUCAUAAAAAAAGUGAUAAUGGACUCAAAUUUCAAAUUGAAAGUAUUGUUCUUAAUUACUCUUAUGUUAAGUAGAAUUUUCUAUUAAAUUUUCAUGUAAUUUGGAUACUUUUACACCGUUGAACUUAAAAACGUGUCACAUCGGCCGUUAAAAUAGUUAUUUUUAAAAUCAUAUGAUCGCUUGGUAAAUGAUGUCGAAAAAUUAUAAAUUUUGGUUUCUAGAUAGUUUCAAUAACAUAGAUUAUGCCUAAUGAAGCCGAUAGUCAAAUCGAAUGUCAUAUCAUCAAAAAUAACUUAUAAACACGAAAACCUCUGUACUUUCGAAAGUACGGAAGACGUACUCUAUUAUGAGGCCGUUUAGAUCAGGUAUAAAGGGGGGGAUAAAGGGUUAUCCCCCCUUUAUACCCAAACAAAAAUUAGAUUGGUACAACCCGGUAUGGACUGGGAACAAGUGUUCCCACCCAGGGGUGGGAACAAGCUUGUUCCCAACCCCCCCUUCCCCCGGGUAGAGAGAGAGAGAGAGAUUUAUUUUAAUUUUAAAUUUAAAUUUAUAAAAUUUAUAAUUUUAAAUUUUAAAUAUAUAAUUUAAAAUUAAAUUUUAAAGUUUAAUUUUAAGUUUUUAAAUUUUAAAUUUGUUAUUUUAUAUCUUUGAAAUUUAAAAUUGGUCUUAAAUUUAAAAUUUGAUAUUUAAAAUUAUAAUUUUAAAUUUUAUUUCAAAUUUUAAAAUUUAAAAGUUAAUAUUUUCAAUUUUUAAUUUUAAAUUAUAAGUUUAAAAUUUUAAAUUUUAAAUUCAAUUAUAGGGAUAAUAUCAUUAUUUUCUAUUUAUAAUUAACAACUAUUCCUCUUAUUCUCAAUAACCAUCCAAACGCAAUUUUUUUAGUUCUAGCUUAUACUCACAUUUUCAUCCAAACAAAAAAAAGUACUUUUGUUCUUACAAAACCCAUACUUGUACCUAUCCCCGGUAUAACUAGUUCCUACUAAUUUCCGAACCAAACGGAGAUAUUUAUUUAUUUCACUAUGAUCUCUAAUAUCUUUUCCCAUAUGCACAAUCAUCACAUCGAGCUCAAUCUCAUUACCCUCUCAAUGUUGUCCUACGCGCCUAUAAUCGACCACCUUGAUCUCCAAUGCGACAUAUAUUACCUCUUUUAAAACAUUCGAUAUCCUUAGUGUCAAACUGAACGUGCUAUCAAACUCUUCCAAAAACUUAAAAAAGAUGGCUCUAGAAUUGACAAGAGCUAUCCGACUAUAGCCACUGUCUAUAUGCACAGGUUAAUUAGAAUUGGCAUAGCUUAUUACAUCAAAAUCAAUCAAAAUUUAAAUGGUGGAACUUAAGUACAACAAAAUUUAAGGGUUAGGGAUCUAAUAGCAAAACAAGGAAAAAAAAACUAGGGACCAAAGUAAAAAUACAGAUAACGAUUAGGGACCAAUAUGGCAAUUAGCCCAACCUGAUAUUGCAAGUCGGUUCUUGUACUUCUCUGUUGGACAGUUUAGUUUGCAACACUCACUCACAUUGUAUUUCUCAUUUCUAUUUGUCAAAAAGUUUUAACCUCUUUUACUAAGCUUGUUUACAUAAAAUAUUCAUCGGUUUUGUAUUUUUAUAAAAACAGGCCAUUUAUUUAAACUUUGCAAAUUCGGUCCAAACUUUUAGUAAAUUAGCCAAAAUAACAUUAUUUAUCUGUUCUCCUUUUUUUCGCAUCUUUCUCCUCCCAGUUUGGGGUUUUCUGAAAACUUCGCUAUCAGAAUCCUAAUCGAAAGGCCAUCAUGUUUCAUGACGCUAAGUUGCACUAUUUGAGACCAAACUGCACCAUUUGAAACUAUUUGAGAUUAUGUUUCAUCGUAUAAAAUAAAAAAUACGCUGUUUGAGACUAAGUUGUACUGGUUUAGACUUAAUUUACAUCAUUUAAAAUUAUUUGAGGCUAAGUUGCAAUUUUUGAAUGAUGCAACUUAAGUCUCAAACAUUGUAACUUAGUCUCAACUUAGUUUCAACUUAAUAUCAAACAGUGUAACUUCUAUUAUGUGGUGCAACUUAGUCUCAAAGGUUUUAGAUGGUGCAAGUUUUUUUUUGAGAGAAAUAUAGCUUGCUAUCCGUUUUGUUUAUGUUUAAAUGGUGCAAAUUUGUCUCAAUUAAUACAAUUUAUUUCCAAAUAGUACAAUUUCAUCUCAAAUAGUGUAACUUUAUUUUUUUUUCUUCUCUAUUUUUGGCUUUUUCUGUAGCGGCCAUUAGAUAUGAUGGUCUUCUAGAAAAAGAAUUUUUUUUUUUCUCUUUUGUUUCCUUUUUUCCCAUCAUUUGUAUUUUUUUUUUGCUAUUACUCUCUCUCUCUCUCUCUCUCUCUCGCUUUCUGUCGCCGCCAUCGCCCCCACCUAGAUUCUUUUCUUACAUAUAACACUACACGGGUAUCUUUAUUCUUCGACAAAAUUAUGUGUACACCUACUCACAUUAUCCCCAAAAAUAUUAAAAGAAAAAAAAUCACCUGUAAUGCUAUUUCAAUUGAACAAUUUAUAGAAUUUCAUAUCCUUUUUAUUUACUAAAAUUUUUCUCAAGAGUUUUCUAUAGAAGUCAUUAAAUAGAGGUCUUACAUUUCACAAAUCCAAAAGCCCAAAUUAGCUAGAAAAAAAAAAGUUCUAGCUAUCAAAUCCUCGGAAGCUUUUCACGACCUUUUCUCCAAGGCAAAAAAUCAAAAAAAAUGACAAAAUACCCAAAAUCCUAAUUAAGGUUAAGAGAGAAAGAUGUCCAGAAUGAAAAAGAAGCGAAAAAAAAACCUAAUUGAGGCUAAUUUAAAAAAAAAAAAGAACCUUGAUCGAGAUUUUAUUUAAACAAAAAAAACUCCAAACCUAUAAAGGAGGCUGACAAACUAUUGUUUCCUGGAUGAAAAGAGGCCUUAAGAAGAAAACUUGUUGAAAAUGAAGAGGUUAACGCGCGAUAGUCAUGGAGGUGGAUUGAAAAGGGGAAGAGUGUGGCGAAGGCAUUCGUGCGGCUGAUUGAAGAGGCGCGAUCGUGCGUGGAGAGGCAAAGCAGCGAAGAAAUUGGAAAAAGCAGAAUGAAAUGGGAAAAGGCUAGGGUUUGCUCUGGAGGGAAGUAGAUAUUAAGAGAAAAAAAAAUAAGAGCAAUAUUAAAAAGGCCGCUAGAAAUGUCUAUAUGUUCCCGAUUGCAUUUUUGUCGAGGUUAUUGUGACACCCCAAUAGUCCCACAUCGAAUAAUUAUGACUAGAUGUGGGAGUAUAUAAGCUUGAUUGCGCUAGACAUAAUAACUGGGCUUAAGCAUUUUAGGCUAGUAUUUGGGCCCAAUGAGUUAUUGUUACUAGUGGGUUGGGUCGUUAUAUUUGGUAUUAGAGCCAGUUCACCAGCCGAAAAUGUGAGAUGAGUCUUAGCUGAGUCAGGGUCGGAAUGACAGACUAAGUCACGCUCGGUGAUUGACAUGCUUAACUCUCUUAACCUCUUGGGCCUAAUCACCAUCCAAAAUGCUUAAACCGGAUUAAGAGUUCUAACCCUAUUAUAUCUUAUAUAUAGGACUAUUUUGGGUCUUACAAUCUCCCCAACUUUGAGCCCUGACGUUCUCGUCAGGCUCAAACUCACAAGUACCAGGCGAUGUGAGACUCGUCUCGCUAGCCUUGUCAUUAUGACCCCGGCUCAACCAAAACUCAUCUCACACUUUAAGAGAGUAAAGCGUGCUAGGAUGAGAGUGUUCUAGGAUGGGUGACCCCCUGGGAAGUUGGGGCGUCACAUUUGAUAUUAGAGCCAAUUACCGGGUAUUAGAGCCAAUUACCAGCCGGAAGUAUGUGAUUAGUCUCGGCUGAGCCAGGAUUAUACGGCGGAGAGAGUGAGGCUCUCAUGCUGUUGGAAGUGUAAGAUGAGUCUCGGCUCAGUCAGAAUUAUACAGCGGAGAGACCGAGACUCUCAUGCUGUUGACUAUUGUGGGUAGAGCGCGACUCCUUUACAAGGUCGGUUUAGGCUAGCGAGACGAGUCUCAUAUCGCCUGGUACUUGUGAAUCUGAGCCUGACGAGGACGUCAGGGCUUAAAGGGGGGGAGAUUGUGAGACCCCAGGUAGUCCUAUAUAUGAAAUAUAAUAGGGCUAAUCUCUUAACACGGCUAUAGCAUUUUAGACGGUGGCUAGGUUCAAGAGGUUAAGAGAGUUAAGCGUGUUAGGACUAGAGUAGUUCUAGGAUGGGUGAUCCCCUGGGAAGUUGGGGCGUCACAUUUGGUAUCAGAGCUAAUUACAAGCCGGAAGUGUGAAAUAAGUCUCAGCUGAGCCAGAAUUAUACAGCGGAGAGAACGAGGCUCUCAUGCUGUUGACUGUUGUGGGUAAAGCGCGGCUCCCUUUCAAAGUCGGUUUAGGCUAGCGAGACGAGCCUCACAUCGCCUAAUACUUGUGAGUCUGAGCCUGACGAGGACAUAAGGGCUUAAAAUGAGGGAGAUUGUGAGACCCCAGGUAGUCCUAUAUAUGAAAUAUAAUAGGGCUAAUCUCUUAACCUGACUUAAGCAUUUUGGAUGAUGGCUAGGCCCAAGAGAUUAAGAGAGUUAAGCGUAGUAGGAUUGUAGUAGUCCGAGGAUAGGUGACCUCCUGAAAAGUUGGGGCAUCACAUUUGGUACCCCCUAGGAAGCUGAGGCGUCACAGUUGAUAUCAGAGCCAAUUACCAGCCGAAAGUGUGAGAUGAGUCUCGGCUACGUCAGGAUUAUACAACGGGGAUAGCGAGGCUCUCAUGUUGUUGACUGUUGUAGGUGGGGCGCGGCUCACUACAAGGUCAGUUUAGGCUAGCGAGACGAGUCUCAUAUCACUUGGUACUUGUGAGUCUGAGCCUGAUGAGAACGUCAGGGCUUAAAGGGAGGUAGAUUGUGAGACCCCAAGUAGUCCUACAUAUAAGAUAUAAUAGGGUUAGAACUCUUAACCCGGCUUAAGCAUUUUGGGUAGUGACAAUGCCCAAGAGGUUAAGAGAGUUAAGCGCGUUAGGACGGGAGUAAUACUAGGAUGGGUGACCCCCUGAGAAGUUGGAGCGUCACAGCUGUUGUUAUAAAUGCCGACAAAGCUAUGUUUUCCUACAGUGCUAGUACGGAAACUUAUUUUUGCCAUGGGUUGAUAUGGCGGUUUCGAUUAGGUUGUUUGCAUACUGGAUUGUGCCGAGGGAACAUGGAUAGUGUUUCUAUGAUCUGAUUGAUCAUUUGCAUUGAUUACAGCCUGCAUAAGCCGUAUUGAGCUCAAUAGAGAUAUGGGUUGUAUAUAGAUGCGGGUACCCAUGAAUUACCUGCAAAUUUGCUGGUAUGGAUACUAUUUUUUCUUAUCCAAAAAACUAUGGAUAAAAUGAGUGGGUACCAUUUAAGUUGUGAGUAUUUUAGGUAAUCCGAUGGUACCUGUAUAUAUUUUCUUAAUUAAAAAAUAUAAUCUUUAUGAUAUUGACUACAUAAUCAUGAAAACUUUAUUAAUUUUGUAUUAUGAAAAAUUGGAAUGAUAAAGUAAUUUUAUAUUAUAUAAAUUUAUGUGCUUUAAAAUUUUAUAUUGCUUACUAUGUAUCAUGAUAUUUCAAAUAACAAGUUAUGUCGUACUCUUAAAAAUUAUAUAUAUAUAUAUAUAUAUAUAUAUAUAUAUAUAUAUAUAUAUAUAUAUAUAUAUAUGUUUUGCAUUUGAAAAGUAUAGGAGCUAAAAAGAAAAAAAAAAAAAAAAUCUUGCGAGCAAUCCGCAUACCCACCCGCCAUUGCUCAUGGGCGGGUAUGGGUAAAGAUGUUAACUACUCAAAUAUUUACAAGUAAAUUUUACCCAUGCCUAUAUGACCCGCAGGUAUAAUGACAUGUCUACGGGUUACCCAACCCACCCGUCUACUAGCUCUAGUUGUAUACUUGGUGCGUUCAUGCCCCUUUAGUACCGCUUCGGAAUCUGAUUUUAGCAUUGAUGUUGCAACAGUCAUGGUAGGCAACCUAUAUUUUAAUAGGCCAUUUGCAAAAGUGGUGUCAUGAUAGUAUAUAGACGCAAACUUGAUUGAACUCUCGAGUCGGUCGGUAGGAUUGGGCUAUGAUUGUAAGCAAUCAGUAGUUAAUUGAUGUAUACUAUCUAUACAUAUUAUCUCGAGCAUCUGUAGUAUAGAGGCAUGGAAGCUGUAAAUUUUAUAUAUAUAUAUAGAGUGAGGCUACUAUGCUUCUGGAAGUACGGAGCCUUCCGUGCUUCCAGGUCGUUUUUGAUGUUGUGACUUUCGAAUCGUCGAUCGACUUCGUUAAACUUAAUCUAGAGUUUUUGAAGUACCUAGAAAAUAAAUUUUGCAAUUUUUCGAUAUCAUUUGCCUAGUGAACUAAGGGACUCAAAGUCAACGGCUGAAAAUAAAAAUCUUACAAAACGUGAUAAUAUGACAUUAAAAUAUUAGAUCAAAGAUAUUAAUCUUGUUUUAUAUAGUAUAAAGAAUUUUCUAUCAAAAUUUUACGUGAUUUGGAUAUUUCUAUACCGUUAAACUUGCAAAUGGCUCACCACGGUCAUUAAAAUUAUUAAUUUUGAGUCCCUACGAUCACCAGGCAAAUGAUAUCAAAAAAUCAUAAAAUUAUUUUCUAAGUACGUCAAAUACUCUAGAUCAAGUUUAACGGAGCCGAUCGACGAUUCGAAAGUUGCAACAUCGAAAACGACCUGGAAGCACGGAAGGCUUCGUGCUUCUAUAUAUAUAUAUAUAGUCCGGCUACUAAACUCUUAUAAGUACGAUCACCCUCGUACUCAUAAAUUAUUUUCAAUAAUAUUUAACGGAGUGGAUCGUCAAUUUGGAAGUUCCAUUAUUGAAAAUAACUUAUGAGUACGAAGUGCCCUAUACUCAUAAGAGUAUAGUAGCCCUGUUCGUACUCUAUACUCAUAAGAGUAUAGUAGUUCUAGCAUAUANCACGUCUCGACUCUCCGGGAUCUGCUUUCGGCUGGUUCCAGUCCCUGCGAAAGAAUCAAUGUAUCAGAAAUGACCCUAGAGAAACAAGAAAUCAUGAAGAUGGACGGAUCUAUGGGGAAAUCAACAAAGAGCGAGGUUUGUAUCGGAAGCAAAAUACAGGUGUGAUGAAUGAAAGAUGAGACGGAAAAAAUCAGAAUCCGGAUGUGUUUAAAAGAAACCAGAUACUGAAACAAUGGAGUCACAAAUUCAGUUUUCUUUUUAGGCUAAAUUACAUAAAACCUUCCUAUCAAAACCCGAUUUUUUACUUUCCCUCCCUGUCAUUUAAAAACCCAUACUUUGCCCCCUUAUAAAAUAAAAAAUGUUCACUUCACCCCAUGCCGUUAGUAAUCCGUUAGGAUUCCGUUUAUAAAAUAUUAUUAUAUUUUUUUUUAUGCCAAAAAUGCUCUCAAC
rnacentral:lncRNA from 1 species